rnacentral:lncRNA from 1 species
GCAAGGAAGACAAGGAUUGUGCGUGCUUGUGCUGUGUGUACAUCUUCGGCGUGCUGCUCUUCUUUGCUGUCAUGAUUCUGCUGACGUCCAAGCCAUGGAAUCGAGGCUAGAGAGCAUCAACGUACCAGGAUGAUCUCUGGAGCAUGCACUUCCUUGGAACUAAUGACCUACCAGGUUGUUUCCUCUAGUAGUAGUACUAUUGCUGGGAAGAAGAACUGGUACCGUCUAGAGUGGUGUGUAGACUGAUCAUUGUGAUAAGCCGAGUAAGAUUUCAGUUUAUGUGACGCCUAGUACUGCAGUCUUUGAGUUUGAGGGUGUGCAAAACUUGAGGGAGAUCUAUAUAUUAGCGCAACUUCACUGAAGAUUGCAAAAAUUUGGGUCAACUAUUUACAAGUAGUUCAGUGUGAUCGAUCCAGAGGACCACCAUGCUGUACCGGAUCAUUCACGCACGGUGCAGCCAGCAUACGUGGAGGCCGCCCGGCCGGCUGUUGCUCUGCAUAAUUGCGUUGCCAUUUCGGAGUCUGCCCGCUUUUUUAUGAGAGAGCGAGAGUGCUGCCAUUUUCGUGUGCUUUAACUCCGUGUACUUUUUCAGCUUACACGGAACCGGAGCCAAGAGAGCGCGUGCACUUCUCCAUCUUCAUCUCUUUGCGUAGGGGUAACACAUGCAGAAUCAUCCGGCCGUCCAGGUGAACAAUGUGGGCGGAAAUCUUCGGGGCGGCCAGCCCCACAACGUGGCCAAUCCUCCCGCAGGCCAACCGCGAGGUGGACGCCAAUGCUCCGGCCGUCGACACAUCACACAUAUGACAUAUCCCAUUGCCCCUAGUGGAUUCUAAAUUUCGGUUGUUUACUAAAUGGAUUUGAGGCAGAACUCCUGGUGAAAAUGACGCCAUUUACGGCAGGAAGUUUCAUAGAGAAGAGCAUCUUCACUCGCUUGCGGGUACCCAGUAGGAUCAUUAGCAGCACCGGGUCCUAAUUCACAAGUCAUGUGUUUCAAGACUUUUGUGAGGACUAUGGAACAAAAAUAUGUUCAACUCGAUCGGCCAUACCAUAGUAACGAACAUGCAAAAUACGCGAGCGAAAUCAUACUCUAGGGUAUCAAAAAGCGUUCAGUAUCGGAUAGAAUACAUAGAAUAGGAAGGAUGUUGGUCAUCUAACUACUGGCAGUCUUAUGGGCAGCAAGAACUCAAAUGAGACGUGCCAUAGAAAAAAAUCCUAUUUAUUUUAAGCCCCCUCCCCCGUGACGAGGACAUCCCUACCAAUAUUACAAUCAUGGCCCUGUUGCUACACAACUUGGGCCAAUUACUAUAGCUCAUGCACGUCAAUUAAAAUACCCGGUACUUUCGUUUCUUGAAACUACUUCUAAUGCUCACAAGAACAUGAUGCUACCAAAACUAGAUAGUUGUGUAUUGCUUAAGAAUGAAGGGUCUAGCAUGCAUGGAUAGAAGGAAUGAGCACUGUGGCAUGAUCAAGCAUGGAGAUGAUGGCAAGCACGAUGAAAAAAAGAUGAAUGCCAUUGAUCAGAAUUCGAGUCGAGGCUGCUGAGAGAAUCGAUGCGAUGCAGUAUUCAUCUUGCGUCAACAUUGGAAUUGGAUAGACAUUGUCACUUCUGGUUCAGUACACCCUCUUAAACACAUCGACGAGUGAGAUUACUCCAUACCCCUUCAAAAUAAAGGGUAGAUUGAUCUUUUUUUAAAGUAUGCCGUCCGCUACACUGGACCUCGUAUACGAAUUGCACAGGUGCAAGCGUCGGGCUGGCCCAUCAAGGCAUGUCCCUCCUACCACGUCUAUGUAAGCCACAUAAAAAUAGAGAGAAAAAGUAGAACUCAUCAGGACUCAAACAUGAGACCUCACACUUAAGGUGUGUGCUGCUAGCCACUUCACCUCAAUGCUGCUUGUGGUUUUCUACACCGCGAAAUAUGUAAGAAUACACAACAACGUUCAUAUUUAUGAAAACAUUGCUGAAAAAACUAUAACUUUUAUUGAAAAAAGCGAAAAAAAUCAAAUGCCAUUUUUUUUUCAAAUUACGAUUUUGUAAACACAAACAUUUUCUGAAAUUAGAACAAAAUUUAAAACAUGAACAUUUUUUAAAAUUUCCGAACAUCUUUCCAAACAUGAACAAUUUCUGAACAUCUUCUGAAACAUGAAUUAUUUUUAAAAUUUGUGGCCUUUUUUUGGUUUUUGGUGCCCCGUAUUCCUUUUGUUUUUUCAUUUUCUCUUUCUUUUCUUUUUUACUUUAUUUUAUUUUUUUAAAUUCAUGAAUCCUAAAUAACUUGGCAUGGUGUCUUUAAUUGGUCAUACAAAGUCAUGAUAAAAAAUUGGGAUCAUUUCAAGGAUGUCGAGAAACAACAUGCUCCCAGGCGAAGCCUUCUGGUCUACCCGAACACCCCUCCGUUGAAUAUGGUCUAGUUUUGGACAUUCUUGAAAUAAAUCCAACUUUUGCAGAAAGGUGGGCACGCCCAUAGUAGGUAUCCAUGUCAGGUUUGAACUAAUUUUGAGACCGUAUACAAGUUGUGACACGUUUGGUCAUUUAUCAGCAUUUUUUGGACCGAGAAUACUCCAGAAAAUGCAGAAUUUGUCAAAAGUCAAAACAACAUGCCAUUGUGCCUUGAAUUCGUCAUACAAGGCCAUUAAAAGAAUUGAGGUCAUUUCAAGGAUGUCGAGAAACAACAAGCUCUGAAACUGAGCCUUCUGGCCUACCAGACACCGUGCGUUGAACAUGGUCUAGUUUUGGACAUCCUUCAAAUGACCCCAACUUUUGCAAGAAGGUAGGCAUGCCCAUGGUAGGCAUCCGUGUCAGGUUUGAACAAUGUCCGACAUUGUAUGCAUGUUGCGACACAUUUGGCCAUUUAUUGGCCUUUUUGGACCGAAAAAACUCCAAAAAUGCAGAAUUAGGCAAAUACUAAAAACAACUUCGUAUGAUGCCUUGAAAAAAUUUGGGGUCAUUUGACAGAUGCCAAAAAACGUGCUUUUAACUAGGACAAUGGACCGGCUCAGUCGGGUGGACUCUUGUGAAAAAAUUAUUUAAUUCGUGAACUUUUUAUCAAAUUUGAGAAAUAAAUUCAGAUUGAUGAACUUUUUAUCAAAUACAUGAUUUUUUCCAAAUUGAUGAACGUUUUUUCUCCUUGGAGUUAGGGGUGGGCAUAAAAGCCGACAAAUCGAAGACCAAACCGAUAUCAAAACCAAAAUUUAUGCCACAUGUAGCGACCAUCGCGCGCAUGCGGCCUGCACGUCAAUUCCAUGGGCCAAGCUGAUCACUUGCAUGCAACGCAUAAGCUUGUUUUGGGCUUUUCUUCAACCUGCAUGUACGUGCCUGUAGGCGGCAUACUGUGUCGAUCGUGGUUUUAUUCCCACCUCGUCUGGCUACACGGAAGGAGAUAGAAAGUAAGGGUCGGCAUAUUAACCGAAAACCGAUGUACCGAAACCGAAACCAAAUGGAUGGGAACCAACAAUUUCAAUGUAUAUUUUGGUCAUUAAAUCUAUAGAACCAAAAUUUAUUAUGUAAAUUUGGUUUUUACACUUGAUUAAGUGAAAAUACCUAGAAAACUUAAAAUAAAUAUUAUUUAAAAAAAUCCCAGCAGCAUUGUAUAAAUGNNNNNNNNNNNNNNNNNNNNNNNNNNNNNNNNNNNNNNNNNNNNNNNNNNNNNNNNNNNNNNNNNNNNNNNNNNNNNNNNNNNNNNNNNNNNNNNNNNNNNNNNNNNNNNNNNNNNNNNNNNNNNNNNNNNNNNNNNNNNNNNNNNNNNNNNNNNNNNNNNNNNNNNNNNNNNNNNNNNNNNNNNNNNNNNNCAGACCAGCUUGCCCAGCUGCCCAACACACCUGUCUAAGCCUUUCUGUCCUUUCCUUAUCUUAGUUUUUUCCUCACCAACAUGUUUUUGUUUAGUACCACCUUGGAUUGCUCUUGAGGAAAGAAGCAUGUGAAAGACUAUAAAGGCAGCUGCUACCCAUCAAAUUCGUUUGAACGUGCCCGUACCAAAACAUGUGGCAUAAAGCAAGUUUGCCUAAACUUCGGUUUUGUUCGGUCAGAACCUACCCGUACCAAAUUGGUUUUCUAAUUGUAUAGAAACCGAUUGGUUUGUAUUUUUAUAAAACCAAAUUUUGUUGUGACCUGAAAAACCGGACCGAUCAGGGCUAAAAAAAUCAUGAAUUUGGUAAAAGUUUAUGAAAUUUAAAAAAUCAUUCAUUUGAAAAAAGUUCACGGAUUCACAAAAAAUAAGUUUCACGGAUUUUAAAAAAUCAUGAAAUUAAGAAAAUGUUCACAAAUUUAAGCAAAUGAAAAAAAUAAAAAAUAAGAAGAAAUAAAGUAAAAUUAAAAAUAUUAAAAUCAAAGAACAAAAGGACAAACAGAACCAAAAAAUAAAAUCAAACUAAAAAAUGCACAACAAGAACAAUAAAAGAAGUAACUAGGCACAACAAGUGAGUAGUCCCAGUUGGUUAUAGCGGAUGGAAGUAAAACCAAGAGGUUGAGAGCUUGAAUCCUACCUCACGCACCUAUUUUGUGAUGGUUAAAGAACGAAAAGAUAAAUAAAUGGGCUAUGCCCGCGAUGGAGUAAAAAAAGAAAAAGGAACAAGAAAAGAAAAACCGGAGUGAAAACCGAUGGAAAAACCGGCCAAACAAAAAAAAACAGAGUCCGGGAGGCAUAGAAAAUAAGAAGAAAAAGAAGUAUUACUACACAUAUCAGGUGAGCUGGCUGAGUUGGUUGCUUUGUUUCAAGUGAAGAGAGGUUCCGAGUUCAAAUCUCAUCACCAGCGGCAUUUUGAAAAUGCACUAUGGUAAAAUGACCAUACUGCUCUUAUACGGUUUGUGUGGAGGGUGUACCAAAGCAAGGCUCAGACAUUGUUUCUUUCUUUGUUUUAUUUUGCCCCUGUUAGUACAUAUUUACUUUCAGUUAUAUAAGAAAAUGCCGUAGAAUGAUUGUUCUAGAAUUGCGGUUCCAAAAGAAAAGAAAAAACUCCAAUCUUCACCCGUUAAUCUACCAAUUCUUUCACGAGCCAGAGAAGCCAGUCACAGGAACAUGGUGUUGGAGCAAAUCGUGGAGAUAGAUGUUGCAACGUGCAGGCUGCUGUUGGAUUGCAAUAUCUUUAGUGUGUGCGUGACCAUACUGCUCUUAUACGGUUUGUGUGGAGGGUGUACCAAAGCAAGGCUCAGACAUUGUUUCUUUCUUUGUUUUAUUUUGCCCCUGUUAGUACAUAUUUACUUUCAGUUAUAUAAGAAAAUGCCGUAGAAUGAUUGUUCUAGAAUUGCGGUUCCAAAAGAAAAGAAAAAACUCCAAUCUUCACCCGUUAAUCUACCAAUUCUUUCACGAGCCAGAGAAGCCAGUCACAGGAACAUGGUGUUGGAGCAAAUCGUGGAGAUAGAUGUUGCAACGUGCAGGCUGCUGUUGGAUUGCAAUAUCUUUAGUGUGUGCGUGCUUUAUACGAGUGAUAGAUAGUGCAGCAUUUUUUUGAGCUUGGGUUUCACGUGAUGUCGUCAAGGGGAAGUCACCCUCUGGCCACACCUAGUCCACAGUUCACACUUCACAGCUACCGCCGCUUUUACAUUUUCCCGGAACAGGUGCCUGCUCGGGGCCGUCCUACGGGAGCCUUUGCUACGCCCUAAACGAGCAACGAAUUAUUCUGCUCGGUUGGCUGGCCAAAGCGCUCGUCUCUCACCGCCUACUAGCUAUACCAGUACUUGGCUCAUCCAUCGCUGGCCAAAGAAAGAGCUCAUCUCUCCCCGGCACACACCACACAGACGCUUCUCCGUCUCUAAAAACCCUCUCUUCACGGGCACGCCAUGGACAAUCCUCCGGCCGGCAACGUGGUCAAUCCUCCGGCAGCUGCGGCGGCGGGCAACAACGUGGCCGAUCCUCCUCCUCCUCCGGCGGCGGCAGCAGCAGCAGACAUCGUAGCCGAUCCUCCUCCGGCGGCGGCGGCGGCAGCAGCAGCAAACAACGUGGCCAAUCCUCCAGCGGCGGCGGUAAUGUGAUUCACAAGAUCAUUUCUGUCGACAUAGAUCGAUGCUGCUUCUUUCCUUACUUAAUUGUGCUUUGUUUUCUCUACCCUACCGGUAAUAAAUCAGUCAAGUUAGCCGUUCGUGGCGAUUGCUUUUGUGGAAUUAGGGCGUUUGGACAUUUGGUUCAAGCCAAAGCCUACAGGGCCAGUUCAAGUUCCUUACGUACGUACGCCUUCUUGGUGUACAUCGCCGGCAAUAUUUUGCUGUGAUGAUUCUGCUGUUGCAGAAGCCAUGGAAUCGGGAGUAGAUACUUGAACCGUACCUGACUGACGGGCUCUGCAGACAUGCAUCUUUCCUUGGAACUAGUGACCUACCUAGCUAGGUGGUUUUCUCCGGUAGUAGCACUAGUGUGUCCGAGAUCGGGCGAUCUGUUCGUGUGCUCAGUCAAGCAGAAAAUGCUGGGGGAAGAACAGUCUUUGUGCCCUCUAGAGUAUGUGUAGAUUGAUCGUUGAAAUUUUAUUUAAUUUUAUUUGGCGGGGGAGAUUGAUCCUUGUAAUAAACCGAGUAGGAUUUCAGUCUAGUGUCAUCUAGUAUUGCACCUUUGAGGGAGUGCAAAACUUGAGUGAAAUAUCCGCGCAACUUCACUGAAGCUUGCAGAAUUUUGGGUCACACUGUCACAGGAGCGCAACUUUAUUGAGAGACGCUGCAGCCAACGUGCAUUGCAUAAUUGCGUUGCCAUUUCGGGGUCUGCCGCCUUUUCUUAUAAGAGAGCUGGAGUGGUGCCAUUUCCGUGUGCUUUUUAGACUUACACGGAACAGCCGGUGACCCCACUACUUAAUCUCUCCAUUCACAAAGAUAAGAUGUCUUGAAUAUUUCUAUGGCUUGAAAUGAGUGAACAAACACGUUAAAAUGUUACAAUAUCUUAUAUUCGUGAACGAAUGGAGUAUCAGUUUUUGCAUUUUUAUUUGUAAGCUGGCCGCUCGGGUGAAUAGAGUAUUGUCUUAGGAGUGUGGUUUUUGUACACCGAGGCAGGAUUACUCAAAGACCAUGCUUGAUGACAGCACCGUCUAAGGGAAAGUUGUUUGAGAUGUUUUUGCUUCCUUCGACGAUGUUUGUAAAUUUUGAACCUAGUGAAUUAUUCAGUGAUGGUUGACCGGACCCCACAAGAUUUUUGGUAGGCCAGUGAAUAUAUAGAACCCUGACUGAAUUCCUGACAAACGAGCCAAGAUUAUAAUAAUUCUACCAAGGCGUCGUGACAAUGAAUGGUACGUAGACGUAGUGAGGCAUUUGAACUAGCCGCUUAUACUUUAAGCUGCUGAACUGCAGGGUCCUGCUGCAGUGGAUGCCCGGUGGAAGAAGGAGGACAAGACGCAUGCCAUCAUAAUUCUGGUCGCUGCGGCGAUCGCUCUGCUUCUUGUGGUGCUGUUGAUUAUCCAUCCGUGGAAGAAGUAGAGAAGACUAGUCAUUUGCCGGGUCAGGUUUCCGAUUGUAAGAUAGGAGUGCUAGAACGAAUAAAUUAAUCAUCCAUGUCAAACAAAAUGAACCUGGUAAUAUUGUGACGCGUCUUGGCCAACUUCAGGAGUGCAUUCAGCUCAAGUCCAAUGUUUGAACAAAGCUUGUAAAUUCCAGCAGUCAGAGUGUCCUUCCUCCAAGCUUGGGUACUAUGUCCACAUCACUACUAGGAAAAGGCUUAUUAGUGACGCACUACUGGUGCGCCACUAGUACCACGCCACUAGUAUUAAAUACUAAUGGCGCACCACUGGUGCGCCAUUACUAUCUGACUUACUAAUGGCGUACCACAUAGAAGUGCGCCAUUAGUAACAAAUUUUUUUCAAAUAUUUUUUCAGAAACUUUUUUUCAAAUUUUUUUUCAUUUUUUUCUUAAUCUCGGGUUACUAUGGCUUAAUCUUGGGUAAUAUGCUUAAUCUCAAGUCAAAUCGCACUAAGUGGUCAAACUUCCCGAAAGGUCACCCAUCCUCACACUACUCUAGCCCGAGCACGCUUAACUUCACAGUUCUACCCAACCCCAGCACCACCUCACUUAACAGACACUUGUUGAUAUAUCUACCAUAUCAAUCCUAUUAAACUUUGUUGAUGUCUAGGACUUUGUUCAUGUUCAUGAGUAUGAUGAAAUUUUGAAAAAUAUUUCAAACUUCCUGGUCAUAUUACGUAUCAUUUUUUGAAAAAAAAAUCCAAAAAAAAAUUCAACACCAAUUUUUUUUCUGUUACUAGUGGCGCAUCUAGCAAACGGUGCGCCACUAGUAAGUUUGAAAUUUUUUGAAUUUUUUUGCCUAUCUAGAUCUUGAAAGCUCCGUAACUUUUUUCUGUUAGGUUUUUGAGGAUUUUGAAAAUGUUUAACGGGGUUCCCCCGGUUAAAUUCGGAUGUAACUUUUCGAGUAGAUGAUUUUUCAUAUAAAAAACUUUUUAAUCCGAGUUCGUAUGCAAAAGUUAUGCCCAUUUUACAAAUUCCAGAGAGAUUUUGCAAAUAAAGUCGAAAUUCAUAUUUGUAAAUUUUCCCAACAACUAGACCACAUAUCACAUGGGAAACUUAUUUUCUUUUAUUUUUUUGACAUUUCCAUUAUUUUCUUUUAUUUUUUUAAACUGAAAAGGCGGUCCCAGGGAGGGGGUGCAUUCGGUGGAAUUUUUGGGUCAAGUUAGUAAUGGCGCACCGUGGGACUAGUAAUAGCGCACCACUCCCACGGUGCGCCAUUACUAGUUUUGAAAAAAAAAAUUGAAAAAAAUUUACUAGUAGCGCACCGUGGAUGUGGUGCGCCAUUACUAGUUUUGGAAAAAAAUAAAAAAAAUUGAAAAAAAUUACUAGUGGCGCACCGUGGAUGUGGUGCGCCAUUACUAGUUUAACUAGUAAUGGCGCACUAUCCCCUGGUGCGCCAUUACUAGUUUUGGAAAAAAAAUUGAAAAAAAAUACUAGUGGCACACCGUGGAUGUGGUGCGCCAUUACUAGUUAAACUAGUAAUGGCGCACUAUCCCUUGGUGCGCCAUUACUAGUUUUGAAAAAAAAAAUUGUUACUAGUGGCGCACCGUGGAUGUGGUGCGCCAUUAGUAUUUGGACACUAAUGACGCACCAACACAUGAUGCGCCAUUAGUAUAUAGUAGUGGCACACCACAUGUCUGGUGCGCCUGUCCAUAUCAUUUAUAACCCUUUUUCUAGUAGUGCAUCAAGCAGACCAUGGUAUCAAUAUGGCUCAGGCACAAGCCACCUGUAUUCACGAAUUUUACUGCUGUCUUGCGUUCAAAAAGCAAAAUCAUUUAGCUACUAUAUAAGCGUGUAAGCUACGAAUAUGUAAACUGUCAUUGUGCAAUGAGAAGGCAUCGAAGAGAUGAAGAUGAAAACCUAGUUUCCCUUUUGUUUUAGCUUCAUCGUGUAUCAUAGAAAUUCCUUAUUAAUCGGGUGUCGACGCAAGGAAUUCAUGGGUUGUGUAUACGAGAUAUACAUGUAACAUGUUCUAGAACAUGGGUUGUGUAUAUCAGAUCGCUCCCUCACCCUCCUAUCGCUCCAGGCUCCCUCGAUUGCCCCCUCCAGGGCGAUCAAGGGGGCAACCCUAGCGCCCCGGCCGCCGCACCCUCCCCCCUCUCCUCCACCUCAUCGUCCCCAGAGACGUGCGCCGGCUAAGCCCGGGUGCCGCCAGCGAUGGGGACGGUGGGGAUCUAGGCUGCAGCCCCGCGGUCUGGAGGGACCGGCGGCGCGAGAUCGUCCUUCGGUCUUCUUCUUUCUUGGCGGUUCGGUGUUGGUCCGGCGGCUUCGUGGGGAGGGCGGAUCAGGAGGGGAUGUGGCUAUGGUUGACUGGUCGGUGGCGCCUCCGAUCAGAUCUGAUCUGGCCGGUGCCGCUGGCGGUCGUGGCUAUCUCCUCCGUCGGAGGUGGUUGGCAUGAGGCUGGAUGGUUAGAUCUCGAGAUCCGCCAUCUAGUUCCGGCUGCGAGUCGGGAAGACAUAGCUGCCGGUGAAAACCGAGUCGAUGGCAGGCGAUGGCGGCGUUCUGCGUCGUUACCUUGAUGAAUGCAUCGUCGUGUAACUACUGUCGACCCACUCGUGCUGCAUCGGGGGAAACCCUAGGAUCUGGUCUUCUAGAUCCGACGAUGGCGGUACUGCGGUGUCGCUUUCUCUUUUGGGAGCAUCGUUUGCGGAGCAGAACUGAAAGACAGAGGCAGGAGGUGGAGCGGAUUCGUCUUGCACGGAUCUUUCGGUGGAGAUGUCAAGUCAUGCAUGGCCGACAGGGGCUACGCUGUGUCAUGCCUGGUCGGCAGGUGCUACUCACGAUAGAUCUUCCGGAAUCUUCGCGUCUAGAUGGACGAGCGCGGGGUGGUGGCGCCGUUGGGCGCCGUCGUGGCGUCGACGGAUGGACGGACUGGCAAGGAUGAUGCAGAUCUCUCUCCUGAAGAUGGGUCGACCGUUCGAUGAUGAUGGCGGCAUCUAAAACGUGUGCAUGUGGUGUACGCUUUAGGUCUGCUACACCAGCUAUGGGUUCCGAUACGUUAUGUGGAUGGAUCAGCGACGUCACCGGUUUUAGAUAUGAGGAGUGAGAGCACUCCACAUUAUCGAGUUUUGUAGGUGUGAGUGAUGGCUUCGGGUGGCUUGAUGUAUGUUCUUGAUAGACCUUUGUCAAAUAAUAAAUAAAGAUGGCCAUAUGCAUCGAUUGAUGCAGAGGCCAGAGAUCUUAACCUCCUUUUAAAAAAAAAGAACAUGCAUGUGAGGGUUGUCGAUCCACAAUAUACGAGGGUAUACUUAGUGGAUAAUGUAGGUACGGUGUGAUACAAACAUCUCGCCAACAAAUCUCGAAGUAAUGAAAUAGAUAGGGAUACCAGAUUUAUCUAGGUCCAGGACCACGAGUGGGUACAAUCCCUACUUCCUGCCUUUGUUGAUCUUCAUAUUAACUUCAAGAGAGAAUACAAAACAUACCCAAAACUGAUCUAAGGCUCUCAGCGUGACUGUCAAUGUAGAGCAAGCUCCUGGAAUCAAUACAAGGCUCUUGAUGCGAUUGUCAAUGUAGAGUCCGCCAAACCCUCAAGUCGAUCUUGAAGAACUUCAUGUAUAACUUCAACAAAUUGUGUGUAAGUUGUGAUUUUGCCUUGGACUCCAGGAUUAUCUUACAGAUGUGGAAUGGCUUGGCCUCCAAGUUGGAUCAAACCAAACAUGACUCCAUGUUUGUCAUGACUAGAAAAAGAGACAUCCUUAGUCCAUGCGACUCUAGACUCCUUCGCAAUGUGUUUCAAAUUUGUUUCUCCUUCUCUAUCUUGUUUUCCUCGAGAUAAAAAAAAUUGGAGCGUCUCCUGGCCAUGAAUACGGAUACAUAUUUUGUAUGUAUUUACGUAUAUGUUGGCAUAUUUUUCGACGAGAAAGAUAUAAGAAUAGAACAAUUGACUUUGGCAAGAUGAGACGCGGGAUAUGAGAUCUUACACAUCUUCAGUCCCCCCACCCCCCGCGAGUAACAUUCCUAUGGCAUACAUUAUCUCGUGAACUCAGAUAUUACAACAAUGAAUUACAGAAAUUUUCUCUUGACUUCAACAAAGUAAAGAGCUUGGCCUUUCAUAAGGGCCUUUAGGUCCUUUAUAUAUAUAUAUAUAUAUAUAUAUGUGUGAUAUAUCUUAUCGGUCAAGGUUCUAACUUCUUCUCCAAGCAAGAUUUGUGUUUUCUAUCAUCAUACAAAUAAGGAUAGGUUAGCUAUACAUACUUCUCGACAAGCUCCUAGCAAUGCAUGAAAUGGGGUUUUAGCAGGUGGUUGUAGGUCAAACCAAGGAAAGACUCCCAACAUGUUUAAACCGCCAUCUUCUCCGGUAGUAGUAGAUAUCUUCUAUGCUUGAUGUUCGGCGUUCAAAGUAUUCACUUUGUCUUUGAGUUAGUUUUGUGUGAUGCUAAAGAGACCAUCAAAAUGUAUGAUAUUGUUGGUCACAUGGAGGAUUGCGGAAUCAAAGGUGUUGAAUACACGACUACAAAGUUUAUAUUUUCUUGUUGCUUUUAGGGAUUCUGGAAUUAGAGGUGAAAGUGCAAUUAUCGUCCAGAGGGGGGUGAAUGCGAGAUUUUUACAAAUUCGUCAAAGAAACUUGUUCUUGAUGAAUAACGGAGUGAUGAAAUACACAGCAGAAUGAAUGCUACGCGAUGUAUACAAUUCGGAAUGAAGACAAAGUCAUCAAGACAGAACUAAGCAUGCAUACUAUGUACCAGAAGAUGACAAACAUGUGAACAUACAGACAUACAAUUUUAAGUACGACGAACUAAAAGACUGAGAAAAGCAUCAAGUAGAAAGUCUUUAGGUCAAAGUUUUCAAAGGGGGAGAGUCAAAUUCUUCAACAGAGAAAUACUGAAAGUAAUGGGUUGAGGAAUUUGAACCAUGGUAGCUUGCUGAAGACAAUGGAUUUGUUUUACCAGUUUCAGUUGUUGUGACAACUGUACGUCUGGUUAGAGUUCUUGAGAUUUAACUCAGAAGACACUUAUUCUUCACCUUAGCCCCUUGAGCUAAGAUCACUUAGACCUCGCCCAAUCAUUCAUGGUAAGUCUUUAAGGUAGACCUCCAAAACCUUCGGAGACUUGUUCUAUGGCACUCCACAAAUUCUUCUUGGGUGCUCAGAACUUCAUGCUUAAUCGUCUGGAAGAUAAUAGUCUUCAAAGGUAACAUGCGUCAGAUCACACAGGACAAUCUCUUCAGUGAUGCUCAAUCACUUUAGGCUUUUGGGUGUUUGUGUUUUUUCCCACUUAGGAUUCUCUCAAGUUCAUUAGAGGAUGGGUUGCUCUAGUUGACACUUGUCAAACAUUCACUCAGAGCAGCUAACCAACAAAUUGUUGUGGGGGCGACUAUUUAUAGCCCGAGCAACCCGACAUGAUAAGACCAUCAUGCCCUUCGGCCACGACCGUCGUCAGGAUAAGGAUCCACUUGACAGCUGGCACUCGUGCAACAACAGUCGGAAAUUUGAACUCUCAAAUUCCUCGCGGUGGGAGAGUCGCACUAGCAAAAUCCUAACUCUUCAGUCUGACCAAUUUCGUCAUCGACCAGAAGAACUAAGUCUCUGCCGCUGAAGAACUCGACUGCACUGCAAGAGAUAAGUAGUCAUAGGUUUGAGCAUCACUUCGGAACGCCUAUGUAUCACCUAGACCCCUUUUAAUAGUUUGAUGUUUUCUAUGACUCAAAUAAAGAAGAAAGAAACUACGAAAACAAAGUCUUCAAACUUCCAAUGCUUCACUUUAAUUUCUUCAAAGGCGCACUAAUUUGUUCAGUGUAAACAUACAUCAUUUUUGGGGGUCGUCUUUUAUGGUUAAACCAAAUCUUCAGGGACUUUAUCUUAUGUGUAUAUUCACAAACACAUUAGUCCCUUAACCCAUUUGCCUUCAAUACUCUAAAACCACAAAGGGGAAACUAGAUGCACUUACAGUUUCCCCAUUUUUGGUGAUUGAUGACAAAAUGGUUAAGUUUUGAACGAGGAUAAAUAUUAUGUUGUGAAGUAAAGGUAUAAAGAUUUUGAUAUCAAGAUAUAUAAGAACUCCCCCUGAAGACGUCCAUAUGAAGAAUUACCUUUGGACUUGUAGGAUCGAAAGUAUGUCUAGUGGGGGGGGGUGAUUAGACUACUUGACCAAAUAAAAAUCUAUCAUUUUCCCAAUUUUAGUUGUGGGCAGAUUUUAGCAAUUAUCACAAGUCAAGCAAUCAACCUACACAUGCAAUUCUAAGAGUAUAGCAGGGAAAUGUAAAACAUUGCAUAUGAAGGUAAAUGAAAGGGUUUGGAGAAGGCAAACUCAAUGGAGACCACGGAGAUUUUUGGCGUGGUUCCGAUAGGCGGUGCUAUCGUACAUCCACGUUGCUGGAGACUUCAACCCACGAAGGGUAACGGUUGCGCGAGUCCACGGAGGGCACCACCCAUGCAGGGUCCAUGGAUAAGCAACCUUGUCUAUCCCACCAUGGCCAUCGCCCAUGAAGGACUUGCCUCACUCGAGUAGAUCUUCACGAGGUAGGCGCUCUCCUUGCCCUUACAAACUUCUUGGUUCAACUCCACUCAUAUUGGAGGCUUCCAAGCGACACCUAACCAAUCUAGGAGAUACCACUCUCCAAACGGUAAUAGACGGUGUGUUGAUGAUGAACUCCUUGCUCUUGUGGUUCAAAUGAUAGUCUCCCCAACACUCAACUCUCUCUCACAGAUUGGGCUAUGGUGGAAGAAGGAUUUGAGUGGGAAGAAACUUGGGGAAGGCUAGAAAUCAAGGUUCAAAUGGUAGGAAUGGAAUCUCUUGAUCUCCACACAUGAGUAGGUGGUUCUCUCUCAGAAAAUGAAUGAUGGAAGUGUAGGCACGUUCUGAUGGCUCUCUCACAAAUGGAGAAGGGGGUGGAGGGGUAUAUAUAGCCUCCACACAAAAUCCAACCAUUACACCCUUUUGAUUCAUCUCGGUGGCACCGAUUAGUUAAACUCGGUGGCACCGAUCUGUUCAAAAAUAUGAACAUUAGGAAUCUCGGUGGGACCGACUGGAACAACUCACCGGGACUGAUGUGCUAUGGCUUAGGGCAAAUCUCGUCUCGGUGGCACCGAUUGCAUCAAUUCAGUGAGACCGAAGUGAAGCAAUAAGGCAACAGAGAGUUGGCAAGCCAUCUUGGUGAGACCGAUUGCAAUUCUCGGUGAGACCGAAAUAAUUGCAACAAGUAACAAAGAGUUGGCAAGGCCAUCUCAGUGAGACCGAGAUCCGUAUCGAUGUGACCGAAUCGUUAGGGUUUCUGACAGUGGCUAUGUCAAAUGAACUCGGUGGCUCUGGAUAGAAAGUAACGGUGGGGCCGAGUUUGGAAUUAGGGUUUGGACAUAUUUGGAUAGAGAAAGUGGCUGAGCGUCCAUUUUGCAUAUGCUUUUAUUUGAUAUUUAUUGCAUUAUGGGCUGUUAUCACACAUUAUGGUACAAUAUUUAUGCCUUUUCUAUCUUAUUUUACAAGGUUUACAUGAAGAGGGAGAAUGCCGGUAGCUGGAAUUCUGGACCGGAAAGGUCCAAAUCUGAGAGACCUAUUCUGCACAACUCCAAAAGUCCUGAAAAUUUAUGGAGAAUUAUUUUGGAAUAUAUAAAAAAUAUUACAUGAAGAAAAUACCAGAGAGGCCCACCAGGUGGCCACAAGCCUGGGGGCACGCCCCCAGGGUUGUGGGCCCCCUGGCAGGUCUCUGGUGCUCAUCUUCUGCUAUAUGGAGGGUUUUGACCUGAAAAAAACAGAAGGAAGCUUUCGGGACGAAGCGCCGCCGACUCGAGGCGGAACCUGGGCAGAAGCAAUCUAGGGCUCCGGCGGAGCUGUUCUGCUAGGGAAACUUCCCUCCGGGAGGGGGAAAUCGAAGACAUCGUCAUCACCAAUGAUCCUCUCAUCGAGAGGGGGUCAAUCUCCAUCAACAUCUUCACCAGCACCAUCUCCUCUCAAACCCUAGUUCAUCUCUUGUAUCCGAUCUUUGUCUCAAAAUCUCAGAUUGGUACCUGUGGGUUGCUAGUAGUGUUGAUUACUCCUUGUAGUUGAUACUAGUUGGUUUAUUUGGUGGAAGAUUAUAUGUUCAGAUCCUUGAUGAUAUUUAUUACCCCUCUGAUUAUGAAUAUGAAUAUGCUUUGUGAGUAGUUACGUUUGUUCCUGAGGACAUGGGAGAAGUCUUCUUAUAAGUAAUCAUGUGAAUUUGGUAUUUGUUCGAUGAGAUGUAUGUUGUCUUUCCUCUAGUGGUGUUAUGUGAACGUCGACUACAUGACACUUCACCAUGAUUUGGGCCUAGGGGAAGGCAUUGGGAAGUACUAACUAGAUGAUGGGUUGCUAGAGUGACAGAAGCUUAAACCCUAGUUUAUGCGUUGCUUCGUCAGGGGCUGAUUUGGAUCCAUAUGUUUCAUGCUAUGGUUAGAUUUAUCUUAAUUGUUCUUUCGUAGUUGUGGAUGCUUGUGAGAGGGGUUAAUCAUAAGUGGGUGAGGGAAAUAUGCCCUAGAGGCAAUAAUAAAGUUAUUAUUUUAUUUCCUUAUAUCAUGAUAAAUGUUUAUUAUUCAUGCUAGAAUUGUAUUAACCAGAAACUUGAUACAUGUGUGAAUACAUAGACAAAACAAAGUGUCCCUAGUAUGCCUCUACUAGACUAGCUCGUAAAUCAAAGAUGGUUAAGUUUCCUGACCAUAGACAUGUGUUGUAAUUUGAUGAACGGGAUCACAUCGUUAGAGAAUGAUGUGAUGGACAAGACCCAUCUGUUAGCUUAGCAUUAUGAUCAUUAAGCUUUAUUGCUAUUGCUUUCUUCAUGACUUAUACAUGUUCCCCUGACUAUGAGAUUAUGCAACUCCCGAAUACCGGAGGAACACCUUGUGUGCUAUCAAACGUCACAACGUAACUGGGUGAUUAUAAAGAUGCUCUACAGGUGUCUCCGAAGGUGUUUGUUGGGUUGGCAUAGAUCGAGAUUAGGAUUUGUCACUCCGUGUAUCGGAGAGGUAUCUCUGGGCCCUCUUGGUAAUACACAUCACUGUAAGCCUUGCAAGCAAUGUGACUAAUGAGUUAGUUGUGGGAUGAUGCAUUACGGAACGAGUAAAGAGACUUGCCGGUAACGAGAUUGAACUAGGUAUGAUGAUACCAACGAUCGAAUCUCGGGAAAGUAACAUACCGAUGACAAAGGGAACAAUGUAUGUUGUUAUGCGGUUUGACCAAUAAAGAUCUUCGUAGAAUAUGUAGGAACCAAUAUGAGCAUCCAGGGUCCGCUAUUGGUUAUUGACCGGAUAUGUGUCUCGGCCAUGUCUACAUAGUUCUCGAACCCGUAGGGUCCCCACGCUUAACGUUCGAUGACGAUUUGUAUUAUGAGUUAUGUGAUUUGAUGAACCGAAGUUUGUUCGGAGUCCCGGAUGAGAUCACAGACUGACCAGGAGUCUCAAAAUGGUCGAGACAUAAAGAUUCUUAUAUUGGAAGGUUACAUUCGGACACCGGGAUGGUUCGAGUUGUUCCGGAUGAGUUUUGGAGUACCGGGGGCUACCGGAACCCCUCCCCCGCGGGGAAGUUCAUGGGCCUUCAUGGGCCUUAGUGGAAAGGAGAGGAGGGCCACAAGGGAGGCCGCGCGCCCCCCCAUGGCCAGUGCGAAUUGGACUAGGGAGGGGGGGGGCGCCCCCUCUUUCCUUCUCCCCUCUUCCUCCUCCCCUCCUUCUCCCUCUCUUGGAUGGAAGGGGACUCCAACUAGGAUUGGGAAUCCUAGUUGGACUCCCCAUGGCGCGCGCCCCCCUUGGCCGGCCUCCUCCUCCUCCCCCUCCUUUAUAUACGUGGGAGGGGGCACCCAAAGGACACACAAGUUUCUCUUAACCGUGUGCGGUGCCCCCAUCCACAGUUACACACCUCGGUCAUAUCGUCAUAGUGCUUAGGCGAAGCCCUGCGCUAGUAAGUUCAUCAUCACCGUCACCACGCCGUCGUGCUGACGGAACUUUCCCUCGACCUCAACUGGAUCAAGAGCUCGAGGGACGUCAUCGAGCACGCGGAGGUGCCGUACGUUCGGUGCUUGGAUCGGUUGGAUCGCGAAGACGUUAGACUACAUCAACCGUGUUACUAAACGCUUCCGCUUUCGGUCUACAAGGGUACGUGGACACACUCUCCCCGCUCGUUGCUAUGCAUAUCCUAGAUAGAUUUUGCAUGAUCGUAGGUACUUUUUUUGAAAUACUGGGUUCCCCAACAGCGGCAUCCGAGCCAGGUCUAUGCGUAGAUGUUAUAUGCACGAGUAGAACACAAAGAGUUGUGGGCGAUAAUAGUCAUACUGCUUACCAACAACGUCUUACUUUGAUUCGGCGGCAUUGUUGGAUGAAGCGGCCCAGACCGACAUUACAUGACCGCAUUCAUGAGACUGGUUCUACCGACGUGCUUCACACACAAGUGGCUACCGGGUGUCUAUUUCUCCAACUUUAGUUGAAUCGAGUUUGACUACGCCCGGUCCUUGUUGAAGGUUAAAAAAACACACUUGAUGAAAAAUCGUUGUGGUUUUGAUGCAUAGGUAAGAACGGUUCUUGCUAGAAGCCCAUAGCAGCCACGUAAAACUUGCAACAACAAAGUAGAGGACGUCUAACUUGUUUUUGCGGGGCAUUUUGUGAUGUGAUAUGGUCAAGAUGUGAUGAGAUAUAAAUUAUUGUAUGAGAUGAUCAUGUUUUGUAAAAGUUAUCGGCAACUGGCAGGAGCCUUAUGGUUGUCGCUUUAUUGUAUGAAAUGCAAUCACCAUGUAAUUGCUUUACUUUAUCACUAAGCGGUAGCGAUAGUCGUAGAAGCAAUAGUUGGCGAAACGACAACGAUGCUACGAUAGAGAUCAAGGUGUCAAGCCGGUCACGAUGGAGAUCAUGACGGUGCUUUGGAGAUGGAGAUCAAAGGCACAAGAUGAUGAUGGCCAUAUCAUGUCACAUAUUUUGAUUGCAUGUGAUGUUUAUCUUUUAUGCAUCUUAUUUUGCUUAGUACGGCAGUAGCAUUAUAAGAUGAUCCCUCACAAAAUUUCAAGGUAUAAGUGUUCACCCUGAGUAUGCAUCGUUGCUACAGUUCGUCGUGCCGAGACACCACGUGAUGAUCGGGUGUGAUAAGCUCUACGUUCACAUGCAAUGGGUGCAAGCCAGUUUUGCACACGUAGAAUACUCGGGUUAAACUUGACGAGACUAGCAUAUGCAGAUAUGGCCUUGGAACAUUGAGACCGAAAGGUCGAACAUGAAUCAUAUAGUAGAUAUGAUCAACAUAGUGAUGUUCACAAUUGAAAACUACUCCAUCUCACGUGAUGAUCGGACAUGGUUUAGUUGAUUUGGAUCACGUGAUCAUUUAGAUGACUAGAGGGAUGUCAAUCUAAGUGGGAGUUCUUAAGUAAUAUGAUUAAUUAAACUUUAAUUUAUCAUGAAUUUAGUCCUGAUAGUAUUUGCAUUUCUAUGUUGUAGAUCAAUGGCUUGCGAUGAAGCUCCCAGUUUAUUUUUGAUAUGUUCCUAGAGAAAACUAAGUUGAAAGAUGAUAGUAGCAAUGAUGCGGACUGGGUCCGUGAUCUGAGGAUUAUCCUCAUUGCUACACAGAAGAAUUAUGUCCUUGAUGCACCGCUAGGUGACAGACCUAUUCCAGGAGUAUAUGCAGACGUUAUGAACGUUUGGCAAGCUCGAUAUGAUGACUACUUGAUAGUUUAGUGCACCAUGCUUUACGGCUUAAAACCGGGACUUCAAAAACAUUUUGAACGCCAUGGAGCAUAUGAGAUGUUCCAAGAGUUGAAAUUAGUAUUUCAGACUCAUGCCCGCGUCGAGAGGUAUGAGACCUCUGACAGUACUUUGCCUACAAGAUGGAGGAGAAUAGCUCAACCAGUGAGGAUGUGCUCAGAUUGUCUGGGCACUACAAUCGCUUGAAUCAAGUGGGAGUUAAUCUUCCAGAUAAUAUAGUGAUUGAUAGUGUUCUCUAGUCACUAUCACCAAGCUACUAGAACUUCGUGAUGAACUAUAAUCUGCAAGGGAUGACGAAAAUGAUUCCCGUGCUCUUCGCGAUGCUGAAAUCAGCGAAGGUAGAAAUCAAGAAAAAAGCAUCAAGUGUUGAUGGUUGACAAGACCACUAGUUUCAAGUAAAAGGGCAAAGGAAAGGAAAGGGAACUUCAAGAAGAAUGGCAAGCAAGUUGCCACUCCCAUGAAGAAACCCAAAGCUAGACCCAAGCCUGAAACUGAGUGCUUCUACCGCAAAGGAAAUAGUCACUGGAAGUGGAACUGCCCUAGAUACUUGGUGGAUAAGAAGGAUGGCAAAGUGAACAAAGAUAUAUUUGAUAUACAUAUUAUUGAUGUGUACUUUACUAGUGUUUAUAGCAACCCCUUGGUAUUUGAAACUGGUUCAGUUGUGAAAACAGGAGUUGCAAGAUAAACAUAGACUAGUUAAGGACGAGGUGACGAUGUGUAUUGGAAAUGAUUCCAAGGUUGAUAAGAUCACCAUCGCACACUCCAUUUACCUUCGGGAUUAGUGUUGAACCUAAAAUAAAUGUUAUUUUGUGUUUGCGUUGAGCAUGAAUAUGACUGGAUCAUGUUUAUUGCAAUACGGUCAUUCAUUUAAGUCAAAGAAUAAUUUUUGUUCUGUUUACAUGAAUAAAACCUUCUAUGGUCAUACACUUAAUAUAAAUGGUUUAUCGAAUCUCGAUCGUAGUGAUACACAUAUUCAUAAUAUUGACGCCAAAAGAUGCAAGGUUAAUAAUGAUAGUGCAACUUAUUUGUGGCACUGCCGUUUAGGUCAUAUUGGUGUAAAGCGCAUGAAGAAACUCCAUGCUGAUGGACUUUUGGAAUCACUUGAUGCUUGCGAACCAUGCCUCAUGGUCAAGAUGACUAACACUCCGUUCUCCGUAACAAUGGAGCAAGCAACUGACUUAUUGGAAAUAAUACAUACUGAUGUAUGCGGUCCGAUGAGUGUUGAGGCUCGCGGCGGGUAUCGUUAUUUUUUGACCUUCACAAUUGAUUUGAGCAGAUAUGGUAUAUCUACUUAAUGAAACAUAAGUCUGAAACAUUUGAAAAGUUCAAAGAAUUUCAGAGUGAAGUGGAAAAUCAUCGUAACAAGAAAAUAAAGUUUCUACGAUCUGAUCGUGGAGGUGAAUAUUUGAGUUACGAGUUUGGUCUUCAUUUGAAACAAUAUGGAAUAGUUUCGCAACUCAUGCCACCUGGAACACCACAACGUAAUGGUGUGUCCGAACGUCGUAACCGUACUUUAUUGGAUAUGGUGCGAUCUAUGAUGUCUCUUACCAAUUUACCACUACCGUUUUGGGAUUAUGCAUUAGAGACAACUGCAUUCACGUUAAAUAGGGCACCAUCUAAAUCCGAUGCGACGACACCGUAUGAACUGUGGUUUAGCAAGAAACCUAAGCUGUCAUUUCUUAAAGUUUGGGGUUACGAUGCUUAUGUAAAAAAGCUUCGGCCUGAUAAAGCUCGACCCAAAUCGGAGAAGUGUGUCUUCAUAGGAUACCCAAAGGAGACUGUUGGGUACACCUUCUAUCACAGAUCCAAAGGCAAGAUACUCGUUGCUGAGAAUGGAUCCUUUCUAGAGAAGGAGUUUCUCUCGAAAGAAGUGAGUGCGAGGAAAGUAGAACUUGAUGAGGUAAUUGUACCUUCUCCCGAAUUGUAAAGUAGUACAUCAUAGAAAUCAGUGCAAGUGAUUCCUACACCAAUUAGUGAGGAAGCUAAUGAUGAUGAUCAUGAAACUUCAGAUCAAGUUACUACUGAACCUCGUAGGUCAACCAGAGUACGAUCCGCACCAGAGUGGUACGGUAAUCCUGUUCUGGAGGUCAUGUUACUUGACCAUGACGAACCUACGAACUUUGAGGAAAAGAUGAUGAGCCCAGAUUCUGCAAAAUGGCUUGAGGCCAUGAAAUCUGAGAUGGGAUCCAUGUAUGAGAACAAAGUAUGGACUUUGGUUGACUUGCUCGAUGAUCAGCAAGCCAUUGAGAAUAAAUGGAGCUUUCAAGAGGAAGAGGCACGCUGAUAGUAGUGUUACUAUCUACAAAGCUCGAAUUGUCACAAAAGGUUUUUGACAAGUUCAAGGUGUUGACUACGAUGAGAUUUUCUCACUCGUAUCGAUGCUUAAGUCUGUCCGAAUCAUGUUAGCAAUUGCGCAUUUUAUGAAAUCUGGCAAAUGGAUAUCAAAAAAACAUUCCUUGAUGGAGUUAUUAAAGAAGAGUUGUAUGUGAUGCAACCAGAAGGUUUUGUCAAUCCUAAAGGUGCUAACAAAAUGUGCAAGCUCUAGCGAUCCAUCUAUGGACUGGUGCAAGCAUCUCGGAGUUGGAAUAUACACUUUGAUGAGUUGAUCAAAUUAUAUAGUUUUAUACAGACUUGCGGUGAAGCCUGUAUUUACAAGAAAGUGAGUGGGAGCACUACAGCCUUUUUGAUAAGUAUAUGUCAAUGACAUAUUGUUGAUCGGAAAUGAUGUAGAAUUUUUCUGGAAAGCAUAAAGGAGUGUUUGAAAGGAGUUUUUCAAAGAAAGACCUUGGUGAAAGCUACUUACAUAUUGGGCAUCAAAAUCUAUAGAGAUAGAUCAAGACGCUUGAUAAAACUUCCGAAGAGUACAUACCUUGAUAAGAUUUUGAAGGAGUUCAAAAUGGAUCAGUCAAAGAAGGAGUUUUUGCCUAAGUUGUAAGGUAUGAAGUAGAGUAAGACUCAAAACCCGACCACGGCAGAAAAUAGAAAGAUAAUGAAAGUCAUUUCCUAUGCCUCAGUCAUAGGUUCUAUAAAGUAUGAUAUGUUGUGUACCAAACCUAUUGUAUACCUUGCCAUGAGUUUGGCAAGGGGGUACGAUAUUGAUCCAGGAGUGGAUCACUUGACAGCGGUCAAAGUUAUCCUUAGUUACCUAAGAGGACUAAGGAAAUAUUUCUCGGUUAUGGAGGUGAUAAAGAGUUCGUCAUAAAGAGUUACGUUGACGAAAGCUUUUACAUCAAUCCAGAUGACUCUAAGUCUCAAUCUGGAUACAUAUUGAAAGUGGGAGCAAUUAGCUAGAGUAGCUCCAUGCAGAGCAUUGAAGACAUAGAAAUUUGCAAAAUACAUACGGAUCUGAAUGUUGCAGACCCGUAGACUAAAAUUUCUCUCAUAAGCAAAACAUGAUCAUACCUUAUUACUCUUGGGUGUUAAUCACAUAGCGAUGUGAACUAGAUUAUUGACUCUAGUAAACCCUUUGAUUGUUGGUCACAUGGCGAUGUGAACUAUGGGUGUUAAUCACAUGGUGAUGUGAACUAUUGGUGUUAAAUCACAUGGCGAUGUUAACUUGAUUAUUGACUCUAGUGCAAGUGGGAGACUGAAGGAAAUAUGCCCUAGAGGCAAUAAUAAAGUUAUUAUUUUAUUUCCUUAUAUCAUGAUAAAUGUUUAUUAUUCAUGCUAGAAUUGUAUUAACCGGAAAGUUGAUACAUGUGUGAAUACAUAGACAAAACAAAGUGUCCCUAGUAUGCCUCUACUAGACUAGCUCGUUAAUCAAAGAUGGUUAAGUUUCCUGACCAUAGACAUGUGUUGUCAUUUGAUGAACGGGAUCACAUCAUUAGAGAAUGAUGUGAUGGACAAGACCCACCCGUUAGCUUAGCAUUAUGAUCGUUAAGUUCUAUUGCUAUUGCUUUCUUCAUGACUUAUACAUGUUCCUCUGACUAUGAGAUUAUGCAACUCCCGAAAACCAGAGGAACACCUUGUGUGCUAUCAAACGUCACAACGUAACUUGGUGAUUAUAAAGAUGCUCUACAGGUGUCUCCGAAGGUGUUUGUUGGGUUGGCAUAGAUCGAGAUUAGGAUUUGUCACUCCGUGUAUCGGAGAGGUAUCUCUGGGCCCUCUCGGUAAUACACAUCACUAUAAGCCUUGCAAGCAAUGUGACUAAUGAGUUAGUUGUGGGAUGAUGCAUUACGGAACGAGUAAAGAGACUUGCCGGUAACGAGACUGAACUACGUAUGAUGAUAACGACGAUCGAAUCUCGGGCAAGUAACAUACCGAUGACAAAGGGAACAAAGUAUGUUAUUAUGCGGUUUGACCGAUAAAGAUCUUCGUAGAAUAUGUAGGAACCAAUAUGAGCAUCUAGGUUCCGCUAUUGGUUGUUGAGCAGAGAUGUGUCUCGACCAUGUCUACAUAGUUGUCAAACCCGUAGGGUCCGCACGUUUCGAUGACGAUUUGUAUUAUGAGUUAUGUGAUUUGAUGAACCGAAGUUUGUUCAGAGUCCUGGAUGAGAUCACGGACAUGACGAGGAGUCUCGAAAUGGUCGAGACAUAAAGAUUCUUAUAUUGGAAGGUUACUUUCGGACACCGGAAUGGUUCGGGUUGUUCUGGAUGAGUUUCGGAGUACCGGGGGUUACCGGACCCCCCGGGAAGUUCAUGGGCCUUAGUGGAAACAAGAGGAGGGCCACAAGGGAGGCCGCGCCCCCAUGACCAGUCCGAAUUGGACUAGGGAGGGGGGGGGGCGGCGCCCCCUCUUUCCUUCUCCCCUCUUCCUCCUUCUCUCCUUCUCCCUCUCUUGGAUGGAAGGGGACUCCAACUAGGAUCGGCAAUCCUAGUUGGACUCCCCAUGGCGCGCGCCCCCCUUGGCCGGCCUCCUCCUCCUCCCCCUCCUUUAUAUACGUGGGAGGGGGCACCCCAAAGGACACACAAGUUUCUCUUAACCGUGUGCGGUGCCCCCUCCACAGUUACACACCUCGAUUAUAUCGUCGUAGUGCUUAGGCGAAGCCCUGCGCUGGUAACUUCAUCAUCACCGUCGCCACGCCGUCCUGCUGAUGGAACUCUCCCUCGGCCUCAACUGGAUCAAGAGCUCGAGGGACAUCAUUGAGCUGAACGUGUGCUGAAUGCGGAGGUGCCGUAUGUUCGGUGCUUGGAUCAGUUGGAUCGCGAAGACGUUUGACUACAUCAACCACGUUACUAAACGCUUCUGCUUCCGGUCUACGAGGGUACGUGGACACACUCCCCCAGCUCAUUGCUAUGUAUCUCCUAGAUAGAUCUUGCGUUAUCGUAGGUAAUUUUUUUGAAAUACUGCGUUCCCCAAUAGUGGGAGGCUUGUCCAAGUAAGGGCAACACCCCAGCACUGGCUACCCACAUACCAAAUUAUCAAAGUAACGAACGCGAAUCAUAUGAGCAUGAUGAAACUAACUUGACAACAAUUCCCAUGUGUCCUCGGGAGCACUUUGCUUUAUAUAAGAGUUCGUCCAGGCUUAUCCUUUGCUAAAAAAAGGAUUGGGCCACCUUGCUGCACCUUAGUUACAUUUGUCACUUGUUACCCGUUACAAAUUAUCUUAUCACAAAAUUAUCUGUUACCGAUAAUUUCAGUGCUUGUAGAGAAUACCUUGCUGAAAACCGCUUGUCAUUUCCUUCUGCUCCUCGUUGGGUUUGACACUCUUACUUAUCAAAAGGACUACGAUAGGUCCCCUAUACUUGUGGGUCAUCAAGGGUUUUGGAGCAAUAUCACUAAGUACUUGAGCAUGUAGACCAUUAAGCAACACUUCAUCCCCUUUUAAUAGUAUUGGCUUUCCUAUGGAGUCAAUGUGAUCUUGGAUCACUAAACUAGAAAUGAAGAGUCUUGAGAUUUUGCUAACCUUUGUCCUUAGCAUUUUGAGGGGUCCACAUCUCUAGUCAAUGUCGUGCCAAUCAUUGAACAUGCUAAAAUAUUUAUCUUGAAUGGAUAUUAGUUCAAUGAGCUAUAUGUUGUUAUGAAUUACCAAAAGCACCUGGGGAUUAGUUGCGCUUUCAAUCUCCCCCUUUUUGGUAAUUGAUGACAACAUAUAGAUGAAAGCUUCAAUAAUUGAUUAAAUGAAUGAAAUACAUCGUCGCUUUUAGAAGUAUGUGAUAAGAAAGAGCUCCCCCUAAAUUUGUGCAUAUUUAAAAAUUUGCGUUUAAAUGCAAAUGCUCGAUCGAUUAGGAUCAUGGGUCACUCUUCCAUGUCACAUACAUCUUGGUGGAGGGCACAAAAUGAUAAGAGUGAAAUAAUAUGCACGCAUCACCAAACACAUAAGUGGAUGAUCAGCACAAAUAAUCAUAAAGAGAAGCAUUAAGCAUAUAUUAAGCAAAGUAGGAUCAACCACAUAACCAAACAUAGUAUCGCACGAGCAUCAAAACAACCAAGUAGCACGAAUCAAACGAACAUAGUAGCAACGGGCAAUAAAAACCAAAGAGCAAAAGCGAGACUCUCUCUCUCUCUCAGCCUAUGAUCUAUACAAUUUCUCCCCCUUUGGCAACUAGUACAAAAAAGCUCGAAAUGGUAUAGAGCUAUGCGUCUCUCUAGGCAUGAUCCUCUGGAGCUCCUGAAGGGGACUUCUGGCUUGUGUCUCCUGUGUGCGUAGAUAGCAUUGCGAGAACUACAUCUGCAAAUGCUUCUGCUGAUGUCUUCUGAACUGGUGGUGUAGGCACUAGAGGUGGCACUGUAGCACUAGUGGCAAGUGCAGAGUGAGUGGUCCUCGUGUCUGCAACUGGAACAACUGAAGAUCUAGCUGCUCUGGGCACAGUCUGAUACCUGUCAGUUGUCUAUCUAUCAUCUCCACUCUCAGCAUCAUCUCUAAGCUGCUCCACAAUAGACUGAAUCUCUGUGACCUUGACAUCAAGAUUGUACAUCUUGUCCUCCACAAUCCGCUCUAAGCUCUCCUGGUUCUUGGCUAAGUUGGCCAGACGUUGCUCAAUCUUCAUUGUUGCUUCCAGCAGAUAUGUCAUUUGGUCUUGCUUUGUCUUGAGAUUUGCUAUUGGGGCAUUGGCUACAGUGGCUUCCUUUGCUGCUUUUGCUGCUGCAACCUGAGCCUUCUCUUGAGGCUCAGCUGAUGUGGGGUGUGAGGCAUCCAUCACCGCCACAUUAUCCUCGAACUCUGGCUGAAGGGGGAGGUGCUCACGAUCAAAUAGAUAUGUGUCUGUACCAACUUUGGAGUUGAUAAGCAUCUGAAUGUGUGGGGCAUAUCCAUAAGAUCUCUUCUGGUCAGCAACUGUCCUCUUGGUCGUCUCAAUAAUAAAACUCAUAACUUUGAACUUCUGGGGGGGGGGUGUCAAACAAAUGGAGCAAGUUAAUGGAGUGGCCACGUAUCAUCUUGGCAUCUCCAUGCUUGGGCAAAAGGGUAUGCCUCAAGAUAGUGUUGGUUGUGGCCAACCCAGCUAUCAAAUGCUUGACUGACCCAUGCUUGUGGCUCUCAACAUCGUUUGGAGGAAUUUCCUUGUACAUGUUUGCCAUUAUGUUGUGGUCCAUCCGGGGCUUCCCAUAUACAUCAACAUCAUUUUCGUCUUCCUCAGGGGCAAUAAGAAGUGCAGCCCACUCAGAGAUUGAUGACUGGUACUUGUGUCCCUCAGCCACCCAUGCAAUCUUUCCAUCUGGAUAGAAGUGUGUUGUGGAGUAGAAUUGCAUGAUCACCUCAUCAUUCCACUUGGUGAGCUUCUGACCAACAAAUGCAUCAACUCUAGCAAGUCUGAAACUCUCAUGAAUGUGGGGGAAAUAAUCUUCAUUGGUAUCGAUGUAUUUCCAGUCCACUCACUUCAUGUCACUAACAAUGGGCUUCUUAUCAAGCAAAAUUGUCUCAUAGAAAUCCUGUUGUUCACGAGUGGGAAAGUGAUAAUCACAAGAUGUCCUCCUCCUAACUGAAUAGGGAUCCACUUUCCUCCACUCUCUCAGUCCUUUGUCCUUCUUGAGCAUCAUGUUUUCAGCAACGGGAUGAGCAUUAUCAUGAUUUGGGAUCUUGGGCUUGAGCCUCCUGAGCACUAGUGGCUCAUCAUCAUCCUGAACCUCUGGCACUAUGGCCUUGUUCUUCUCACCAGCUGAAAUGUUUCUUGUAGACCUCUUGGGAGCAGAAACCUUGGGCUUGGACUUUGGUUUGGAAGGAGCAGUUGUCUUCAUGGCAUCAGCCAUGAGUUUCUGUGCCUUGGCAGGAGGUGCUUCAGCAUGCUCUUCCUCCUCUUCCUCAUCAGCAGUGUCCUUUUUCAAAUUUAGCCAUGGGAUCAACAAGUUUGCACCAUCUACCUCUUUUCCUUUCUUUCUUCUUUCCUACAACUUUGUCAACCUUGGACCGAGGAACUUUCCUGGCACCAGUCCUUUCCUUGGCACUUGGCUUAGUCCUAGCUGCAGAGCCAUACUCCUAUCAGACUACUACCUUAUUUUGCUUGGAAGUGGCCUCAUCUGCCACAAAAUCUUCAUACUCGCUGUCAGAGGUUCUCUUCUUCCUUGUUCUAGUGGCAGCCUUUGGCAAAUUGCUUGGAGUGCUCCUGAUGCCCUCAUCAUAGCUCUCAUUGGCACUAGAGCCUUCACUUAGAUCAACAUUCGGCUCUGACUGAUUCUAACUGUCACUUGCACAAGACAUCUUGCAAAGCUGACCCUGGGAAUAAAUGGGUAUGUACAGAGUAGAUGAGUUAUGACAAAAAGCAGAUAGUUUUUAGAAAAUUUGAGUCCAAACUUUAGUUUUAGUUUUCCAAAAAAAGCAUUUCAGAGCUACCGAUAUGUUUAUUUUGGUCACACCGAAGCACACACAUACCCUAAACACACAAUUUCAGUUGGACCGAGUUAUGGUUCGGUGGCUCCGAGAUGCUAGGGUUUCACUGAAACUUUAUUUUCGGGCUCACCGCCAGUAUGUUUCAGUGGAACCGAGUUGUACUUGUGCAAUGGCCAAGGCCAAUCGGUGGGGCCAAAAAUUUCAUUUCGGUUGGUCCGAGAUGAGCUCGGCGGAAACCUAACCCUAAUUUUUUUCGUCGAAUCUAUUCUAAUGAAUUUGUUUGGUGGAUAGAUCAAUCUCAAAAGUGGCAAGAUACUAGGCAUUGUCCUUGUGCAUUGAAUCGGAUAAAUAGAAGCACGAGGAGAUCGAAUCUCACCCUAACUCGGUGACGAUCCUCUACGGCGGCAACUGUGGAGUAGAUUCCGUUGACGGCGGUGGAUUCCUACGGCGAUGACGCACAGGAGAUGAGGGCGACGAGAGGGAGACCAAUGGGGUGGCAACAAUGGGGCGCAGGCUCGAAAUGUUUGAAGAAAUUUUCAACUGUACGGGCCGCAAGAUAUAUACCCAUGUGUUGUCAAUGGCACCGAGUGGAACGAAUCGGUGGCACCGAGAUGUGAAACUGCGUGCAGUUACAACAAAUCGGUGGGACCAAGUCGGUCUAAUUAGUAGCACCGAGAUAAAACCUAGAUCAAUCUAAUGCUUUCGGUGUGACCGAGUUUGAAUGAAUUGGUCUGACCAAAAAACUGUAGAAGGUUUUGGAAGGCAGCCCUUGACGGAUCGGUGGCUCCGAGUGCUCCUCAGCUGGAGGGUGUGAAAAGAAACUUGUUCAUUUUUUUUGUGAUAUAGCAUGAAUAGAGUUUGAGACAAGAAGAGCAUAGAUAGCUAGAAAAAGUUCUGUGGUAUUCUUGUACAUCCACUUGGCCAAUAAAAACCAAGACAAUCAAAACAACAAAUGGAUGUCCUCGAAUGGGGAAAAAAUAUGCAACCAACAUGCUCACACAAUAAGAUAGCAAACGAAAUAUGUGUCAAAGCAUGCACAAACAAUUCUAGCAUAUACCAAGCAAUUGGCGAUGACUAGGUCAUCUAUAGAUGACUAUAUUGACUUAGGAGUCAAAUGAGAACAUUUGAUCAUAGGUCAUACUCAUCGUUUAAGCACAAGUGGGGUUACCGCUUUUACAUAAAGCAUUAAUGUGUUCACACCAUUAGAGUUGCCUUAGCUCAAUUUCUUAGAGCAAAGCUCCCCCUAGAUGUGAUAUCCCCCCUAAGUAAAUCUGAGAAUGGUUUUGCUAUAAUCGGGUUUGUUGGGUCGGUUUCUCUAUGUGGGUAUGUGUAGUUUGGGUGUUAAUGGGCUGACACUGACAUUGGUUCAGUUUAAUUCGGUUUUGUGUAUCAAAUGGUUGGGUAUAAUCAGGUAUGGGUUCAAACAGUUCCGAUUCCAAACAGUUUAACCCAUGGGUCGUGCCCAGGUUGUGAGAACUGUUUAGGCCUGUUUGCUCCACGGCUGCCCGUAACAGCGGACGUGGUUGGUGCGGGGUUGCGCGCAAGGUGUUUGUUGAAAAGCAAAGCACAAGUAAGCCAUGAGGGACUUCACAUCCAGAUCGCGGACAGGGCGUCGUCCUCGAGCAGCGCUGGCAAGGGCGUUGCGCGGAACCUGGUCACCUGCCUCUACCGGACGCAGUUCGCCGGCCGGCCCCGCGUCAUCUGGGUCACCUGGAGCAAUGUCGGCCUUGUAGAGGCUCUGGACGCCAAUGCUGAGGCCCUGCCCCAUACACGUCGGCGUCCAGAGCCCUGGCGUCCAGAGCCUCUACAAGGUGGACAUCAAGCCUUGGCUCUUCUCCAAGAAGAAGGGCUCCAAGAGCCUUGACAUCGACGGUGGAAAGGUCAACAUCUUCUAGGACCUGUCGGCUGCCAGGUUCGGCGCGGGGACAGAGCCGCUGGAAGGCUUCUACGUGGCGCUCGGCGGAUGGAGUUACGGCUCCUCCUCUUGCACGAGGCGUCCCUACAGAGGUCGCGGAGGCCGCCAGACUUUGACUGGUUGGUCGGCUUCCCGGGCGCCUGGAUGAACCUGCCGUUGGCCACCGCCGGGCUGUCCACGAUGUGCACGGCACGACGCUUGCCCUCCAGGUCGCGCGGUCGUACACGCGCACCCACCCUCGCUGCCGUCCCUCGCACUGCAUCUUUGCUCAUUUCCUUGGUUUGCUUCAUGUGUUCUGUGCGUCGAGACCGGAGCUACCGGAGGUGCCGGUGGACACAUACUGGAGCGAAUGGAGUACUGACGGCCUUCUGGGCUCUGUCCGUCUGUGGCAGCAGCCACCUGGUUCUUAUUUAUAGGCAUCACCACUUGCUGUUGCUUUGCCGUCGUAGCUCUUGCCACCGCACUAUCACUCUGCUCCUCUGCUGCUCCUAUGUUCUGCAGUGGGUGAGGAGGUGGGCUCGCCAUUGAUGGCCAGAUGGCGGGCACGGUGACGAGGUUCUAUGGCAGCUUGUCAGGUAUGAAUUUGAAUGGGACCUUCUGGGUGCCCAUCUUCCUGAACCGCCUAAUGCUACCUUGCAAGCUGAUGUGUUGACCCAUUAGAGCAAAUAGUUUUCAACCCACUUUAGAAAAUGGUUUUAACCCAUAGAUGGGCACUCGGUUUAGUUCAGUUUGGUGGAAAGAUCGGGUGGGUUUGGUUUUAGUUGGGUUGAUAAUUUUUUAAACGAGUUUAGUUGUGGUUGGGUUGACAGAAAUUUUCGUGUGGGUUCAGUUGAGGUAUGGUCCGGUUUUCAAACCAUCCUCAGGUUUACCCCUAAGAGGGAUGAACUAACCUUGGGUUUUGGUGAUGAUGACUUCAUGUAGAUAGUGAAGAUGUGGAUGCUCAAUGUUGAUGUAGAUCAUUUGGAGCAAUCCUUCGGAGUGUUGCACUUUCAAUACCUACAUGGGUUAGUCCCACAAGGAACAUACAAGGAUAUCCAUAGGCAUAGAGUGAAUUGCACACAUGAUUAUGUCCACGAAAACAUUAGGUUACCUUGUCCCUUGUCUUACCAAAAAGAGGGGUUGUGAUUCCAUGAACUAGUGCAAGAUAUGAAAGUUUAUUGCACAAGUCCUUGUCGUAAUGAAUAUGAGUGAAGUAUGUUGGCGGAGUCACCCUCAAGAACACUCUAGUUCUUCUUCUUUGGGACCCACAUCAACUUGAUGGGAAUCCUUGGAGUUGUAGUUGUACUUGAUGAAGUAGAGCUUGACAUAGUCUUGGGUAACCCACUUGACCAUGGCCUUAGGAGCUUCUUCAAAUGAGUCAAUCUCUUCUUGAAGCUUGUCCUUUCCUUUUAGCUUGUGGUCUUGUGGUGGAAGAUCAUCUUGAGCUUGUUUUCCCUCAAAAGAAGUGGGGUCAUACUUCUCUUGUUGAGGAACAAACUUCAUCUUGGGGUAUUGGUCUCCCUCCCAUUCAACACCAUUGGCAUUGAACUUUCGUUCAAAACCAACACAUUGAUUCUUCCGGUGCCUUCCUUGCUUGCGAACAAUUUCCUCAAAUUGCUUACUCCCAGCAAGGCUCUUGUAAACACCUUUCUCUAUAAUUCCCUUCAAUAAGCUAUUUUCUUGCUAAGUGUAACUUGGCUAAGAGAAUCAUUAGUGGAAUCAAGAGAACUACUAGAAACAACAAUAUUGGAUUUAGCAUGGUUAUUGUUACUACUAGAAGAAGAAUCUUUCUUGCUCUUGUUGCUAGAUUUUACUUGUGGCAUAUAAUUAGAUAAGAGGAGACGUUUGGCAAUGUAAGAAGAACUCUUCUUUCGAAGAUCAUCAUUGAUAGCUUUUAGGAACUCAUGCUCGAAGCAUAGCUUCUCAUGAGUUCUUAGGAGCUCUCUAUGACCCUCUUGAGUAGUUUCAUGAGCUAACUUAAGAGUGUUUAGUUCUUUAGUUAGACGCUCAAUCUCCUUCUUAUCAUUGUCAUUCGUUUCAUCUUGAUUAGCAUGAUUACUAGCAAGUUCAUCAUUGUUUUCACUAGUUUUGUUAAUAAGUAAAUCAUCAUCACCUAGCAAAUCAUCUUCAUCACUAUCAAAAUCAAGAUACUCACGGUGUGAUACCUUGGGGCCUUUAGCCAUGAAGCAUCCUCCAGUUCCUUCAUUUGGUGAAUCAAAUAUGUCGUAGGAGUUGGAUGACACUAGUGCAAGACUGGCAACACCUUCAUGGGUAUAUUCAGAGUCAGAGUGAUAGCUUCUCUCGGAGUAGUUGUCGGAGUCGGAACCAGAUACCCAUUCACCAACGCGAGCUUGAUGUCUUCGUCUUGUGUAGCUCUUUGAGGACUUGUCCUUCCUUUUCGAAUCUUUGCUUCUUUGAGAGGGUCUUCGUUCAUAACGAUUAUCUCUACUCCUUCUCUCUCUUGGAGGUGAUUCAUCUCUUCUACUUCUCCUUUUUGGUGAGUCUUCUGUUUUCUUGUAGGGAACCAUACACUCAUUGGAGUAGUAUCCGGGUCUUCCACAAUUGUAGCAAUUACGAUCACGACUAGAAGAACUUUUGUCAUUGUAGGACCUUGACUUGAAGCUUCUCUCUUUGCUUCUACUCUUGUAGAAUUUGUUGAAGUUCUUCACCAUUAAGCUCAAUUAUUCAUUGGAGACUUGCUUCUCACUUGAUGUUGUAGGAGUAUCACAUGAAGCUUUGUAAGCACCACUUGAGUUGUUGUGGAGCUCUUCCUUAUCCUUGAGUGACAUCUCAUGAGCAACAAUUCUACCAAUGACUUACGUGGGCUUGAGAUCUUUGUAAUUGGCAUCAUUUGGAUCAAUGUGCACAUGGUGUCAUAUUUUCCAUCCAAGGCACUAAGGAUCUUCUUGAUAAUGAAUUUGUCGGUCAUCUCUUCACGUCCUAAGCCGGCAAUCUCAUUUGUGAUGAGAGCAAGCCUAGAGUACAUUUCGGUGACUCCUUCACCAUCCUUCAUCUUGAACUUGUCAAGUUGACUUUGAAGCACAUCCAACUUGGAUUCCUUGAUGGAUUUGGCACCUUCAUGCAUAUCAACCAAAGUAUCCCAAAUCUCCUUUGCAUUCUCAAGGCCUCUAAUUUUGUUGAAUUCUUCAGGGCACAAUCCAUUGAAAAGAAUAUCACAAGCUUGAGCAUUGUAAUGCAAUAUCUUCAAUUCUUCCGCGGUCGCUUCAUUAUUCGGUUCUUUACCAUCUUCAAAGAAUUCACCUUGCAAGCCAAUACACACAACAACCCAAAUGGCGGGGUUAUGACCAAGAAUAUGCAUUUUCAUCUUAUGCUUCCAACUAGCAAAAUUUAUGACAUCAAAAUAAGGACCUCUACGGUGAUAGUUACCCUCGCUAGACGUCAUACUCUCCUAGGUUGUGAAACCAAUGCUAUGAUCACCAAAGCUAUGGAAAUCAAGGCUAAUGAAGACCAAAGCUUUGAUACCACUUGUAGGAUCAAAAGUAUUUCUAGAGGGGGUGAUUAGACACUACUGCAGGAUGCUGCUAAUGUGACACUACAAUCAGAGAUGCUUUGACGAAACUAUGUGCGAUGCAUUAAUCGCAAACGGUGAUGUACCAUAAAAAAAGAUGCAAAAUGUUUGCGAUGGCGGAUACAUCAAACACGAUUCAGAUUAGAGUUGCGUGUGCGUUGCGUGGCAUAUGGUUCACUCCAAUGAACUGUUUGCGAUGAGGCAGAACAACAGAAAUGGGCAGGCAGAUGAAGGUGUGUGCGAUAUACGGCAUAUAGUUCACUCGGAUGAACUGUUUGUUAUUAGGCAACACAACAGAAACGGUCAGCCAGAUGAAAGGUGUGUGCGAUAUAUGACAUACAGUUUACUCGGAUGAACUAUUUGCGUUGAGCCAAGUGAACAGAAACAGCUCAACUUAACAAGAUGUGUGUUGUACGCGGCAAAUAGGUUUGUAAUCAGAAAUGUGUGCGAAGACCAAUAAUAACACACACGAUUGAUGCUAAUAAGCCGUGUCUGUUGUGGGCGAACAUGUCCUGGUAUACAAUUGCCAGCGAUUGAUGAAUUCAUCAAUGACGGUUUCCCUAGUAUGUUCCGUGUGCGAUGUGAUUGCAUACAGAACAACAACAUAUAUACUAAUAAGGACAUAAUUGCACAACCAAAUUGAACAUCCAAUUACAUAGGUGGCUAGUACACGCAUCACAUUUCCACACACCAAAGUAAACUAUUACAUGCAUAAUUAACUAGGAUAAACGAUCAUCUGAUCAUCAUCUACUUCUUCUUGUGACGCUUGCCGCCACUGCUCUACUAGGAUAAACGGAAAUUCUUUACUGUGAAUAGUGUGCUCUUUUGGGCACACAAGUAUAUCGAUCAUAGCCUGGGGCAAGCGAUGUGCUCGCACACGUUGUGCUAGCUCGAUGUUCCUUCUAUGCUAAGUUACCAUUAAUUGAUGGUGAUUUAUGACCACGCCACCGUUUCCCGCCAUUUCCUCACCGGUUUCCCGCCACCACCCAGCGAUAUUGCGCAUAAACCUAGGUGACACACGACACACCGAGGCAACAAGCAUAGCCUGUAGCACAUCCACCUUUUCCAAGCAUGCCAACCCACCGAAGUGCCGCCUCUGCCAUCAACCUCCUCAAUGAGGAAUACAAGUAGGCGUCAAGACCUGUCAAGGCCGAGGCUCUCCUCGGUAACGCGAUGGACGAUGUUGUGCUGUGCGUCAUUGCUAGGGUUGAGCAGACCCUUGGUGCUUCAGCGCCGCGGAUCAAGAUAGGCAUGUCAAUGCCGAUAGGUUGCAGCUCCCCGCACAACAUGAUUGAUGGUGCGCCGCAGAGCAAGCUAGGCGCAUCCGCACCGAUAGUCUGCGGCUCGCCGCACAGCGAGACCGUUGGAUCGCCGCAGAGCGAGAGGCGUGGCACGCCGCACAGCAAGAGCGGAUCCAUCGGCACUUUCCUGAUGUCGACACGGCGUCGCAGCUGGGUACAUGUCUCGUCAGUACCCCCAUUCCUCGCCAGGAGUGGGCAGAGGUCAUCUGCGUCGUACUUGCACCAGAGGUCGGCCGCGCCGUACUUGCACCGGACGCCCGCCGAGCUAUUCGCCUUGUCCGCGGUCCGCUCGAUGCCAAUGCGCUGGUCACUAGGCGCGACCGCCUCCUUGGCCCAGGUGUCCACCUAGGCACAGUAGAGGAACAUGGCCAUCGCAUCCUCGAGCUGGUGAUCUCCAAUGAAAUGGCGAACUUUGAGCUCAAGAUCCCGCUCCAGAUGUACCACAAGCGUGUCGACCGCUUGGAAGAACGCCUGCACGAGUUCAGGCAGAGCCAAGAGCGUUUUAUUUUGUUGAGUCGUUUCGACGUGGAUCGCUAUGUAUUCACAACAAUCAUAAUAUUGCUAUUUUUCAAUGUGUGUCUUUGUUUUCCGUUCUUGUAUGUUCUGUUUCAAUGUGCGUAUAUAUGCUUUCCAUUCUGUAUAUGUGGAUAUAACAGCUAGAUACCAAUUAGUAUACAAAAACAGAUAGAAAAAUGGAAUUCAUAAUAUAUAUUAAUUGUUCAUUAGUUCAUCACAGAAUAUAUAUAAUAUCAUCACAUAUACAUGAUGAUACUUAACUACUAGGUACAAUGCAUAAAAUUGAACACGAACAAUACUAAAACUAAUCAUCACUCCUGGGGGCAGUAUUCCGGCAGCCCCUCGCCAGGAGCUCCCUGGUGCACGGCGUCUUCCCAGCGCGGAGGUGGUACUCCGCCUCCUUCGCCUCACAGCGCUUGACGUACCGAUCUGCCUCUUGCUGGCGGACGAGCAUGAAUGAUCUUGCCAUUUUGUUGGGCACCCACUGGAGCUCCUCGUCGGUGGCACGCUGGAGCUUAUCGUCCCACCUCCACGCAGUGAUAAGGCGCCUAGCGCCUUUGACCUUCCUCGCAAAGUACCCGUCUUCGUAUACCUCCUCCGCAUGACGAUGCACCCACCCCCAGAGCUCCACCGUCCCCUUUUUCCAAGCAGCCUCAUGGGCUUCACAGCCCGCCGAGUACCUGGCUUCCUCCUCCGCCAUCUCCUUCUUAAACGCCACUUGCCUGGCUUUCUCAGCCGGCGACAGCGACUUCCACAAACAAAGAUUGUACUGGCNNNNNNNNNNNNNNNNNNNNNNNNNNNNNNNNNNNNNNNNNNNNNNNNNNNNNNNNNNNNNNNNNNNNNNNNNNNNNNNNNNNNNNNNNNNNNNNNNNNNNNNNNNNNNNNNNNNNNNNNNNNNNNNNNNNNNNNNNNNNNNNNNNNNNNNNNNNNNNNNNNNNNNNNNNNNNNNNNNNNNNNNNNNNNNNNNNNNNNNNNNNNNNNNNNNNNNNNNNNNNNNNNNNNNNNNNNNNNNNNNNNNNNUGAGAGAGAGAGAUAAAGAGAAAGGGAGAGACAGAGAGACAGAGAGGGGAAGUGAGAGGAGGAUGUAGAUGAGAAUGCAGGAGGGACAACGUGAGCAAGGUAGUAUUCAUUGGCAGCCGGAAUCUAGAUCGGCAAGAAUAGUACACACGCCGGUCGCCAGAAUUUACGAGUACUGUAGUUUGAAUUGCACAUGAUUCCCGCAUCAAAAGCUAUGUGUGAACUUAAUAGCUGACGGUUUCCAAUAUAGAACCGCGUCUGAUUAAUAACCCAUGCCACUCACCUUCCAAACCUCGAGGCGCGAAACAGAGUGCCAAUCGUGUGGGGACCGGUUGUCUUGCCAGAUCUUUACAUUUUAUUUUUUCCUCAUAUAAGGCAUGGAUGCUUAUUUUGCGAUACCAUGGCACUCCAUGCAUGUGUCCAAGCUAUGACACCAAUAUGUUUGAAAAUUCCUUCCAAUUUACUGCACAUGGAAUUAACUCACACACAAGUACAGAAAUAUGAUUUUUCAAACCGUUAAUGGUUAGCUGUUGCAUGUAGAUGUAGUUCAGAUUUGAAUUACGGUCAUUAAAUGGCUAGAAAAUCACUUAAAUGUCUUAAAAAAGUCAAAUGACCCAUGAAAUUUUCCAAAUUCUGAGAUGACAGUUGUAUUAGUGCACAUUAACUGUAAAAAAAAUUUGAAGGCCAUAAGAGGAAGCUAUCGCCGAUUCAUCAUCAAAUAUGCAUUGUUCCCUCUCGGAACCACGAGCCUUCUAGCAAGUUGCUCUGGUUUGUGAGGGGUGUGUCCAAACUUCGGUCAAUUUUUUACCACGUCAUCUUGGUGGCAUGACAUUACAUCAAUCAAGGUUUCAGUGUUUCUGGUCAUUUUUUAAUUUUUUGGAAUUUAAAUGCCAUGGCACUCGAUGCUUUGUGUCCAAGCCGUGAGACCAAUAUGUUUGAAAAUUCCUUCCAAUUUACUACACAUGGAAUUAACUCACACGCAAGUACAUAAAUAUGAUUUUUCAAACCGUUAUGGUUAACUAUUGCAUGUAGAUGUAGUUCAAAUUUGAAUUACGAUCAUUAAAUUGCUAGAAAAUCACAUAAUUGUCUUAAAAAAGUCAAAUGACCCAUGGAAUUUUCCAAAAUUUCACAUGACAGUUGUAUAAUUACACGUUAACUAUAGAAUUUUUUUGAAGGCCAUAAGGGGAAGCUAUCAAGCGUUUGUUAUCAAACAUGCAUUGUUCCCUCUCGGAACCACGAGGCUUCUAGUGAGUUGCUCCGGUUUGUGAGGGGUGUGUUUCCAAACUUUCAUCAAACAUGCCACUUUUUUUACCACACCAUCUUGGUGCCAUGCCAUUACGUCAAGCAAGGUUUCAUGUGUUUCUGAUCAUUUUUUAAUUUUUGGAAUUUAAAUGCCAUGCCACUCCAUGCUUUGUGUCCAAGCCGCGAGACCAACAUGUUUGAAAAUUCCUUCCAAUUUACUGCACAUGGAAUUAGCUCGCACACAAGUACACAAAUCUGAUUUUUCAAACCGUUAUGGUUAGCUGUUGCAUGUAGAUGUAGUUCAAAUUUGAAUUGCGGUCAUUAAAUGGCUAGAAAAUCACUUCAAUGUCUUAAAAAGGUCAAAUGACCCCUGGAAUUUUCCAAAUUUUGACAUGACAGUUGUAUUAGUGCAUGUUAACUGUAGAAAAAAAAUUGAAGGCCAUAAGAGGAAGCUAUCACUCGUUCGUCAUUAAACAUGCAUUGUUCGUUCUCGGAACCACGAGCCUUCUAGUGAGUCGCUCGUUCGUCAUUAAACAUGCAUUGUUCCUUGUGUUCUUUGUGUUGUGAGUUCGUCGAGUUCGUCCGCGAGAUCUUAGUGAGCUAGGGCGUAGAUCGGUAGGGAGGAAAUCUCCGCGCGCACCCCAGUGUUCGAACCAUGAGGGUUUUGCCGGAUCCCGUGAUCCGACAUUUUGCGCGCCAGGUAGGGGUGCGCCGAAGCUUCCUUUCCGUCGUUCGCGUCCAGUUGCUCCGCCGUCUCCAUAGCGAACGCUCGCCGUGCUCGUGCUGAGCGUCGGGCUGCCCUAACCACCCGCGUCACUCGAACAGCUCCCGUUGGUGGGCCACCUCAUCGUUCUCCGUCUCCUACUGCCAACGACGCCACCGGUGUAACGCCCACGAUGCGGCUAUAUCUCCCACGUGUCGAGGCACGACUUAGAGGCAUAACCGCAUAGUGGUUUUGUCGCAAGAAGGGUCAUCUUCACACAAUCCCAUGUAAUGAACAAGAAUGGAAUAAAGAGUUGGCUUACAAUCGCCACUUCACACAAUACAUAAAUAUCAUUCAUACAUCAUCCAAAAUACAAUCAUAUAGACCGACUACGGUCAAAAUCCAGAUGAAAAUAAGACAACCCCAAAUGCUAGAUCCCCGAUCGUCCCAACUGGGCUCCACUACUGAUCAUCAGGAAAAGACAGAUAAUAACGACCACGUUCCUCGUCGAACUCCCACUUGAGAUCGACGCCAUCAUCUGCACUGACAUCGUCGGCACCUGCAACUAUUUUGGAAGUAUCUGUGAGUCGCGGGGACUCAGCAAUCUCACACCCGCGAGAUCAAGACUAUUUAAGCUUAAAGGACAAGGAGGUGCAAAGAGGUGGAGCUGCAGCGGCAAAAGCAUAUAUGGUGGCUAACUUGCGCAUAUGAGAGCGAGAAGAGAAGCAAUGGAACGGACAUCAUCUAGCAAUGACCAAGAAGUGAUCCUGAACACCUACUUACGUCAUACAUAACACAGACCGUGUUCACUUCCCGGACUCCGCCGAGAAGAGACCAUCACGGUUACACACGCACUUGGUGUAUUUUAAUUGGGUCAAGUGACAAGUUAUCUACAACCGGACAUUAACAAAUUCCCAUCUGCCUCAUAACCGCGGGCACGGCUUUCAAAAGAUAAUACCCUGCAGGGGUGUCCCAACUUAGCCCAUCAUAAGCUCUCACGGUCAACGAAGGAUAAACCUUCUCCCGGAAAGACCCGAUCAGUCUCGGAAUCCCGGUUUACAAGACAUCUCGACAAUGGUAAAACAAGACCAGCAAAGCCCCCGAAUGUGCCGACAAAUCCUGAUAGGAGCUGCACAUAUCUCGUUCUCAGGGCACAACGGAUGAGCCAGACGUCGGGUUGGCAUAGACCCUGGUUGCCCAGGGGGCGCCGGACAUCGCUCGGUUUGGGCCAGCACUCGAAGGAGCACUGGUCCGGGGGUUUAAAAUAAGAUGACCCUCGGGCUCGCGAAAACCCGGGGAAAAAGGCUUAGGUAGCAAAUGGUAAAACCAAGGUUGGGCCUUGCUGGAGGAGUUUUAUUCAAGGCGAACUGUCAAGGGGGUCCCAUAAAUCACCCGACCGCGUAAGGAACGCAAACUCAAGGAACAUAAUCCCGGUAUAACAGUAACUAGGGCGGCAAGAGUGGAACAAAACACCAGGCAUAAGGCCGAGCCUUCCACCCUUUACCAAAAUAUAUAGAUGCAUUAAUUAGAUAAGAGAUAUUGUGAUAUCCCAACAUAUCCAUGUUCCGACAUGGAACAAACUUCAACUUCACCUGCAACUAGCAACGCUAUAAGAGGGGCUGAGCAAAAGCGGUAACAUAGCCAAACAACGGUUUGCUAGGAAAGGAUGGUUAGGGCUGACAUGGCUAAAAUGGGAGACAUGAUAUAGCAAGAGAUAGGUAGCGAGCAUGGCAAUAGAGCGAACAACUAGCAUAGCAAAGAUAGAAGUGAUUUCGAGGGGUGGUCAUCUUGCCUGCAAGAUUCUCAGAGUUGUCGAAAGCUUGAUCCUCGUAAGCGUACUCGACAGGUUCCUCGUUCACGAACUCGUCUCCCGGCUCUACCCAAGACAAGAACACAAACAAACGGAACCACAAUCAACAACGAGAAAUACGCAAGCAACAUGAUGCAAAACAUGUAUGAUAUGCAAGAUAUGAUAUGCGAUGCAUAUGCGUGCUCCGGAAGGAAAAUGAUGAACAUGGCAGUAACUUGGCAAACCAAGCAUGCCACUGGAAAGAUGAGAUGAUUUCGGUCGAAAUCGAUAUAAAGAUCACCGGAAUCGGAUGCACGGUUGCAAAUGGCAAGCAAAACAAGAAUGACACGAAUCUGCGAUUAACAGCAAGAUAGCAUUUAAAAUGCAACAAGUAACAAUGCUACAGCACCCCAACAUAGCAACAAAGCACAUGACAGUAAUCUACAGGAGAUGCUUGACAAAAGAUCAACACUGAGCUACGGCUAGUUCACAACAUAUCAAGCUCAAACAAGCAUGGCAAAAGUGCAAACGAUUACAGGUUCACAGACUUGGUGAAAAACUGGACAUGGCAGUAAACAGCAUCAGGUAGCAAUGUUCAGAGCACGGAAUCAACAUGCUACAGGAACUUAACAUAGCAAAGCAAGGCAUGGAAGUGUUCUACUAAAUGCACAUGACAAAAGUCCCUUACUGACCAAAAGCCAAAAAGGACCAGAAGAUAUGAUGGCAAGCACGUAACCAUAGCAAGUUUCGUUAUCAGGUUCAAGACUUAGCAGAAAACAGAGCAUGACAGAAAUAUUAAUAUGUAGGCCUCUUUGUGAGCUUGAUGCACUCACUACAGAGCAAUGCAUGACAAACCAAGCAUACCUGAAGCAAGAUGGCAUGUUUAUAAAGCUAUCCAUGGCAAGAACAAAUACAUAGCAUGAAUGGAUCAACUACAAUAAGCUUGGCAAAAAUGCAUAUCAUGUUAAGAAUCUGCCAGAAAUAUUUUAUAGCAAACGUAGAGCAAGAUUGAGUCAUGCUAUGGCACUCCAUAAUUGCAAACAAUUCAAGGAAUGGAUCUAUUACAACUAUAUCUACAAAACAUCCUUACUGAACAUCUGCAAAAUAUGCAUGUAUCUCUCUCUAGCAUCAAGUUUACAUGGCAACAAAAUUACAGCAGACAAAGACUUCGAGAAAUCAGUGUCCCUGAAAUCAGAAAUAUUACGGAGCCUACUUUGCAUGCUUGUGCUAGUCACCACAGAGAUCACACAAAUACAAGGACUACACCACUGGAAAGAUGGCAUGGCAUAAUUCAAAACGCAUGUAGAGCUCAUGCUCAAAAGAUCCACAGAUUUAAUGAUACAAAAAUGAUAAAUCUCCAAGUUCUGCUAAGAACCAGAGAUUAACAGCAACUAGCCCUCUUCCAAUGAAGAUUUGGGCAUCAAUAUGACCUCUAAUAAACAUGGUGCAAUUAAACAAAAUGAAGAGCAUCACGAUGCGAACAAUUUGACAUAUUACACGCGCGAAUCGGAGCUACAUGCACAGAGUUAUCGCAUCGGGAAUAGAGCAAGAUGCUAAAUUUUUUUCCAGACUUAGAAAAUAAAAAGGGGCUCGGGGUCAACGGGAACAAUACCACUCCCGAUCGGAUCUGGCUCGUCGGCCACAGGAGCUCGCCGGCUCGGGCUGCCGGAGGAGGAGAAGGGACCGGCUGGGCGACGGCCGGCGAGGGGGGGCCGGAGGCCGGAGGAGAUGGCCGGCGGGGAGGCGCGGCGGCGNNNNNNNNNNNNNNNNNNNNNNNNNNNNNNNNNNNNNNNNNNNNNNNNNNNNNNNNNNNNNNNNNNNNNNNNNNNNNNNNNNNNNNNNNNNNNNNNNNNNNNNNNNNNNNNNNNNNNNNNNNNNNNNNNNNNNNNNNNNNNNNNNNNNNNNNNNNNNNNNNNNNNNNNNNNNNNNNNNNNNNNNNNNNNNNNNNNNNNNNNNNNNNNNNNNNNNNNNNNNNNNNNNNNNNNNNNNNNNNNNNNNNNNNNNNNNNNNNNNNNNNNNNNNNNNNNNNNNNNNNNNNNNNNNCGGUUGGCCGGGCGGCGGGGCGGACGUUGUCCGGCGGCGCAGAGGGAAAAUUCUAGGGUUUGGACUGCGGUUGUAAUUCGGGAUGCCCACAUAUUUAUAGGUAGAGGGAGCUAGGAGGCUUCAAAUGAGGUGCGGUUUUCGCCCACAUGAUCGUGAUCGAACGACCUAGAGCAUGGAAGAGAGUUUGGUGGGUUUUGGGCUGGUUUUGGAGGGGGUUUUUGCUGGAUACUCAAAUGGACUUUGCGGAUGCCCGGUUAACCGUUGGAGUACCAAACGAUCUCCGAAUGGAACGAAACUUGACCGGUAGUCUCCGGGUGGUAUAUUAAGGCCACUUGACAAGUCUCGGUCCAUUCCGAGAAAGUUUGACACACGCACACGAAAGAAAAUUAGAGGGGUGCACUAGAGGAGAUAGGAGCGCCGGAUUGGAAAACGGACAACGGGGAAAAUGCUUGGAUGCAUGAGACGAACACGUAUGCGAAUGCAAUGCACAUGAUGACAUGAUAUGAAAAUGCAUGACAUGACAAAAUACAAAACGAAAGACAAAACCCGACAACGGAGGGAAAAACAUAUCACAUAGCCGAAAAUGGCAAGAGUCGGAGUUACAAAUAUGGCAAGUUACAUGCGGGGUGUUACAACCGGCCCGGCGGGGAAUGAGCAGCAUGCGUCCUCGUUGCACCCCUCGGUGCGGCAGGACGGCCGCACCACCACUCCAUCGCUGACCCCGGCCAGUUCCUCAUCCCACGCUCGUUGCGCUCCCAUGGACGCACGGGCCGCGCUCCUCAUGGCACACGAGCUCCUGCGCUACCGCCCGGUCGACGACCUCUAAGAGGACUGGCUUGACCGCAUCGCCGAGCUUGUCCGCGCCGUAGGGGGCUCCCCUGUGUCGUCCCGCUCACCGCCAGGCCCUCCGCCAGCUUCAGGCGACGCAGCUCACGGAGCGCCUCCACCGCCUCUGCCCCAAGAUGGCGCCUUGGCACCAAGGCGUGCGCCACCGCGACGCGAUCCGCCGCGUCCGGCGCCCGCGCGUGAAGAAGAAAGCUGCCAAGAAGUUCCUCGACCGCAAGAGAAUGCUCCGCCACUCCUCGCACCACCGCGCCAGGAUCAUCUGCCGCGGCAGGUCCCCGCGCCACUUGCCAUAGCAGCACGUGGGCGUCAAGACCAAGCUCCACCUCCAAGACGGGCCCCGGCGACCACAGCCGGCUGCCGCGCCUUCACCCCCGAGCUGCGUAGCGUCGCUUGGCCGCGCAAGUUCAAUCCAGAUCUGCCUCCUCGCUACGACGGCACCCUCGACCCCGCAGAGUUCUUGCAGCUCUACCAGCUGAGCAUCGAGGCAGCCAAUGGCGACGAGAAAGUCAUGGCGAACUGGUUCCCUAUGGCACUCAAAGAUGGCGCCCGUUCGUGGCUCCUGAACCUGCCUCAGGGCUCGAUCUCCUCCUGGGACGAGAUGCGCGACCGCUUCGUGGCCAACUUCCAGGGCACUCGCGACCGCCCGCCGGCCGCGGGUGACUUGCGCCGCAUCAAACAACAACCAGGAGAGACCCUCCAGAAGUACAUCCAGCGCUUCAACCACACUCGCCUAAAGAUCCCCAAGAUCACCGACGAGGCCAUCAUCUCCGCGUUCUCUGACGGCGUCCGCGACAUCAAGAUGAAGGAGGAGCUCGCUAUCCACGAGGAGCUGUGCACAUCUCAGGAGCUGUUCAACCUGGCGACCAAGUGCGCAAGAGCUGAGGAAGGGCGACUCUCCCUCCUCGAGCUGCCAGCUGCAGGCCCGGAGGAGAAGAAAGCCAAGGCCAAGGACGUGAAGCGCAAGGAAUCAGCCGUGCUCGCAGCGGAGCCGGACACCAAGCGAGGCAGAGAUCAGCCCGAGUCAUCCAAGAGCAGCCGACCGUUUUGCGCCUUCCACAACCUGAACACCCACAACACCAGGGACUGCCAAGAGCUCCGAGCCAUUCGUGAAGGACGCUUCGGUCAAUGCCCGGAGCGCAGCGACCGGGGCUACAGCCGAGGGGGAGGAUGUGGAGGCGGACGCUGGGACGACCGUGGCCCGCGCCAGGAGUGGCGCGACCGGCCUCGUGAGGACCGCUGGCAGGAUCAUCCUCGCGAGGGCGCCUGGAGGGACCAGCCUCGUGAGGAUCGUCCUCAGGGCAACGCCAAUCUUCCCCCGCUGCCGCCACCGCCAAGAAGGAAUGACGACCACCAUCAGGACGAGGGGGCUUCCAGGAGCCGCGCGCUAUCGCCUGCAUCUUGGGCGGAGCCGAGGCCCCAGCCUCGCAGCAUAUCUUCAAACAGUUUGCUCGUGAAGUGAAUGCAUUCCUCCCCAAGCUUGAGGCCACGCGCCCGCUCAGGUAGUCCAAGUGCGCCAUCACCUUCAACUCGGCAGAUCAGCUCAAGUGCGCAGCCACCGCUGGCGCUCUCCCAAUGCUUUGUUCACCAGUUAUCAGCAACGUGCAAGUCACCAAGACCCUCAUCGACGGCAGCGCAGGGCUCAACAUCCUGUCCGUCGACACGUUCGACAACCUCCAGGUGCCAUAUGAUCAGCUUCAGCCCACCAAGCCUUUCUCAGGAGUGACCGAUGGCUCCACCACACUGAUAGGGCAGGUCCGCCUCCCUGUCACCUUCGGAGAACGCAAAAACUACCGCACCGAGCUCAUCGACUUCGACGUCGCGCACAUCCGUCUGCCAUACAACGCCAUCCUAGGGUAUCCAGCCCUGGCCAAGUUCAUGGCAGUGACCCACCACGGCUACAACGUCCUCAAGAUGCCGGGAAGCGGCGGAAUCAUCAUGGUCCCAUGCGAAGAAAGAGACGCGGUGUGCUUCCUCGAGUGCGCCUUUCAAACUGCAGCAAUCGACGACCCCGAAAGCAAGGGCGAGGGCCCUCCGGAGGCCAUUCCUAAGAAGAAGAAGCAGCUGCGCUAUGCAGGACCUCAGGAGGAUGGCCUCGCGGCCGGAACCUCGUCAGGAUCUGCGCCCGCUCCAGGGGCGCCUCCCUCCAUCGCGUAGGAAGGCGCGCCCAGCGCCCUCCUCGUGCAGGGCUCGGGGAGAGGGCCUCAGACCUUUCCAACAUCACGAGGGGAAGCUCGGGCACCAGUUGGAGGCGUGUUCCAUGGCCUGUUACCCUCAGGGGGACACAGGGCAAGGAGUGCCCACCGCUCAGGAGUUCAUCACCAAGACCGCUGAGGAACUGCAAGACGCAAGGGCCAUGCGCGGUGACCGCCGCUCACAAGGCGCAGCUCCCCAUCCAGGUGAGGAUGCCGGACUGCGUGUCUGCAUCGACGUCCCAGGUCUCAACUGGGCCGCUUCUCAGGAGCUUUUCUGGCCUUCGCACGUGGGCCGUUGCGAGGGUCCACCACACAGCUACGUUCGCAUGCCUUUUGGCUUGCCGAGGGUGUUGUUCGUCUAUCAGCGCAACCUGCAGCGCUCCCUGGCUUCUCAGGAGGCCAGGCACCGCGCCAUUCUGGCGGAAAUGGAGACGGUCCUCAAGGAACCGCCUGAGCCCCCAGAGCCCCCCGAGGCUCAGGGCCCCGGUGGCUCGUGAGGAGCGACCCCAUCCCCGCGUACCUUCAGCUGCUCCGACGUCCCUUCAUCAACAGAACGAGGUGAUAUUUUCCGAGUUCAUUCAGCUGGGAGCGCCCCUCAGGCUGCAUCAUUCCCAGGCCGCGUGGGUCCGUCCCUGUGGCAUGUAUCCCUUUUUGCUUACUCCUUUAGCUUACCUUGCUGGGGGCGCCCCUCGGGCUGCAUCAUCCCCAAGCCACUCGGGCCUGACUCGGUGGCAUGUAUCUUUCUGCAUUUACCCAAGCUGGUCUGCUCUUGAUGCUUAACCUAUCCAUGACUGUUGCCUGCUCGACUAUCACCUCCCAUGGGGCUACUCACACUGGCACGACGCUGGUGCAUGGGUCCGUCCCUGCCACGUUGUCGGUGUCAAAACCGGCGGAUCUCGGGUAGGGGGUCCUGAACUGUGCGUCUAGGAUCGAUGGUAACAGGAGACGGGGGACACGAUGUUUACCCAGGUUCGAGCCCUCUCUAUGGAGGUAAUACCCUACUUCCUGCUUGAUUGAUCUUGAUGAAUAUGAGUGUUACAAGAGUUGAUCUACCACGAGAUCGUAAUGGCUAAACCCUAAAAGCCUAGCCUAUGAAUAUGGUAAUGAAUGUCCCCUAUACGGACUAUGCUCUCCGGUUUAUAUAGACACCAGAGAGAUCUAGGUUACAUGGAGUCAGUUACAUAAGAAGGAAUCUUCACAGCUGGUCACCUAGCUUGCCUUCCACGCCAAGGAGAGUCCGAUCCGGACACGAGUAUGGUCUUCAAUCUUCAUGUCUUCACAGCCCAUCAGUCCAGCCCAUGGAUAACAGGCCGGGCGCCCGAGGACCCCUUAGUCCAGGACUCCCUCAGUAGCCCUUGAACCUGGCUUCAAUGAUGAGGAGUCCGGCGCGCAGAUUGUCUUCGGCAUUGCAAGGCGGGUUCCCCUUUUUUCCGAACUCCAAGAUAUUCUUCGGACAUGAUGAUUGUAUCCGGACCUGUUAUACACCACACACAACCGCAGAGAGAAUAUAAUAUUUGCACGAAUCUAAUCUGUUGACAGCUUCUUUACAACACGACAUCACGUCUGUCCGGUUAUAAUUUUGAACCGUUUUUCUUCUGCCAUCCCACGUUUCGAGACGCGGUUGCCAUUGGUAUGUCUCGUCGAAGCAGAGAUCGUGCCCCCUUAUUGCGGGAUUCUCAUCAAUGCGGGCAUGGGUAACCCAACCGUGCCGUUUGCACAGCCCUUGGGAAUAGGCGAAUCUUAAGGCGAGUGAGGAGGCGUUUAAUGUUUGCUGCCUUUAUAAGAGGAUAAGGAUUCCCUCUUCCUCUUCUCACGCUUUCUCUCUGUCUCCGCCUUCCCGAUCUGGAGCUCCAGCGCCCAAGUUCUCAUCUCCUUUCCACUCAAGCAACCAUGUCCAGAUCCGGUGGUCAGGGCAAGUGGAUGGUCUCCUCCGUCAAGGAGGAGGACAUUACAGAGCUCCGGGCGGCCGGAUAUUUGGCGAAGGAGAUCGCCCACUGCUUGCCAGCCGAGGGACAAGUCGUCCCCACGCUGGAGCCCACAGAGAGGGUAGUAUUCAUCCCUCAUUUCUUCCGCGGGCUAGGGUUUCCACUCCACCCUUUCGUCCGCAGGCUGAUGUAUUAUUACGGGGUAGAUUUCCAUGAUCUGUCCCCGAAUUCCUUCCUCAACAUCUCGGCGUUUAUCGUCAUGUGUGAGGCCUUCCUCCGCAUCCAUCCCCACUUCGGGCUGUGGCUCAAAGUCUUCAACGUGAAGCCGAAGUUGGUGGAUGGCCAGCACGCGGAGUGCGGAGGAGCCAUGGUGAGCAACCUCUCCAACGUCUCCUGGCCCAAAGGCACUUUUGUGGAGAUAGUAAAGGAAUGGCAGAAGCAGUGGUUCUACAUCACAGAACCUCGCGGCACCACCUGGGCCGCGGCUGCCGAAUUCCGCCCCGAUGCUCCCAUGCGACUCACCUCCUGGGUCGAGAAGAGUCUGGGCUGGUGUUCACCCGACGAGCUGAUAGCGCUGUAGACGCGCGUUCAAAGCAUGGUGACCAAGAACGUCAAGCUUGUUGAUGUCAUCCAGGUGAUGCUGGUCCGCCGGAUUCUUCCGUGCCAGCGCCGAAGCCGCCCUUUGUGGGAGUUCAAUUCGAAGAAGCACCAGACCUUGAAAAGGCUCUUUGAGACUUCUCACGAAGGGGCCUGGAAGUUGCUCUUUAAGGGCAACGAGAAGCCACCGGCCACGGACUCAGACCGUGGUCACGAUUGUAAACACCCCGCCAGCGAGGUAUAUUUUUUCUGACGUACCCUGACUUAAAUGUUUUCGAGGAUGAUAUCUAAGUUUUUAUUAUUGCUCUUUCAGGAUUGGAUGGAGAGGGCGAGGCGGAUCUAGUGUCCGGCCCCGCUGCCCGAAGAGCCUCUCAUCCCGCGCCUGGCGAAGAUGCUGGUGCUGGCGCCAUAUAAGGCGCUGGAGAAGAAGGCCAAGGGGGCAAAGAGUGGCCCCCGUCGCAAGGGCACUCCAGACGUGACAUCCGAAGACGACGAAGCUCGUUCCUCUGUCCCUGAGGACAAUGACGAGGAAGAGGGGGAGGAGGAGGAGGAGGAGGAGGAGAACAACCCUCCCCCCGAGGAGAAGAAGAAGAGGGCGGCUUCGGCGCGUCUGGAGGGGGAGACGCCCAAGAAGGGGAAAGGCGCCCCAGCGGUCAACACCGCAUGGGAUGUCAAGAGUAGUUCGGAACGACGCCCCCGUACUAAGCCCGAGGUCGCAUCGUAAGUGACGUGGCUUGCUCGUGCGCACAUCCGGCCCUUUCUCUCCAUUUAUCUUUGACAUAGUUUAACUGUACUAUUGCAGUCCGACCCAUGACCUUGUCCAACGAUCCUCAUCUGAAGGUUUGUUGGCUCCGUCGGAGAUGGCGAGCCAAUCGCCACCACCUGCUUACUCUCCCGGGGCUAGGGACGACACCGAAGUGCUGUCUCGGAGGGCCGAUCCGAGCCGGGGAGGAGCCCAGGACGCUGUCCGGGAGGCGCCACGAGGCGAAGCCUCCACUGGCGGACACAUGGAGGAGACAAUCCCCAUGGAGACUGGCGAAGAGGGCCGCAUCCAGUUUGGCCCUCAGCCGAAUACGUUUCUGGAGACCCAUAUGGCUCCGGAGUUGGGCGAGCAGCCCCCUUUGAAGGAGGGGGGGGGGGUGCACCGCUUCCGCCGGUGGUCCCUGUCCAUCCAGGCGCGCCGGACAACCUGAUGGAGGCGCUACGAGGCGCCUCCGUUAUGGACGAGCACCGUGUCUUUAUGGGCGCGGUGAUUGAGAAGGUUCAGUCCGCCAAGAGUGGACUGAACGACGCCUGCAGCAACCUGUUGACAGGUUUCGAGGUAAGUGACAUAGAAAGAGAAAAAACCCCUGUAGUCAGUAGCCCCUGAGACACGAUCCGGUGUUCAGCUAGAAGAACCGGACAGAGGAUCUAUUGUAGGAGACUAACGUAGCAUGUAUGCAUAAGCAGGCGUCGCUGUUGGCCGCAACCUCGCAUGCUGCCGAAGUCUCUGAAUUGAGGCGGAGGCUGGAGCAGAUCGAGGACGAGCUCGGCGAGGUUAGGGUUCGGCUCUAGGAGAAGCAAGAUGAAUAACGACUUGCUGUAUGUUCAGAAAGCGUAGGCGAUGUAUAUUGACUGUAGUGUCGUAAUGUGUGCCGGAGCCGCGACCGAAGUCGAGGCCCUGAGGAAGGACCUGGGUGAGGCUGAGGAUAAAGCUGUCCAGCAGCAAGCCGCCCGUAAGAAGCUCGAGGCCCGGGUCAAAGAAAUCCAGCAGGAGCUCCAGGAUGCGGUGAAAAAAUGUGAGACCUUGGAGCAUGAUGCGUCGGCUCAAGGGGCCAAACUCACCAAGGUUCGUCAGAGGACGGAAUGAGGCCUAGGCCACCCUCCAGGAGAUCCAGGAGGCCAAGAAGGUCGCGGCGGGUAAGGCUUUUAAGAUGCAAAGCAAGUGUGCGGCGAAGCAGUACCUUUUACUAACCCGAGUUAGGAGUUCCCCAGGGGCUUUUGCGGAUCUACCACGCAGCGUAUCAGACGCUGCGGAGUUCUAUCGAGCCGAAGGAGGAGGCUCUACUGAGAGGCUAUUCUGGUCACAGUAUGCGACGCCAGAGCAUCCCGUGUCCUUCACCGAUCAGCUGAAGCAGCUGGUGGAGCUGCACCGGGUAGCCGAACUAGCCAUGAAGGAUGUGAUGAUCCGGCUAUGGCCAGCCGAAGCUAUGCCCAGCAACUACUUUGGACUCAUGAGGCGUCUGGUGGAGGCCUGUCCGUGGCUGGAUGUCGUCAAGCGCUCUGCCUAUAUUGAAGGUGCCCAUAUGGCCUUCGCUCGCUGCAAGAUGUGGUGGGCGAAGAUGAACGCUGUUGAAGUUGCCAGUGGGCCGCCAGAGGGCAAGGAGCACCGCACACCCGAGCGAUAUUUCGCGGAUGUCGUAGAGGGGUCUCAACUUGUGGCGGCGCAAUGUUCACAGGACAUUGUAUUUGAAUAAAUGUAUUCAUGUUGCCCUUGCCUUGUAUUAUGGGAACAAAGCCGGUUUUGUAAAAUAAUUUUAUUAUGCUUUGAAUUGUUUCCUCCUGUGCGGCCGUCUUAUUUGUAAUCUGAGGGUUGGCCAGUCGUCGGCUUCUUCCCUCGCGUAGAUAGUACAGAGGUGUUCGGGAUGGAUUCUAAACAAUCUUGAUCCAAUUAUAUGGUCCUUUGGAGGAGUUGUUUAGCGCAACGAACAAGGCAAUCAGACUGUAAGGCUUAAGCGCCCUCACUUAGCCAUAGGAGUUUUAUAAUUAAGCAAGUGCGCAGCCCCUGGUCCAAGCCAGGGUGCUAUCAGCAUCUGAUCGGGAAGUGCCGAUCCUUCGCAUGACGUGCAAAAAAUCUCCAACGAUUUUGUAACCCUCGAACAGCUGACCCGCUCUCGCCGUAUCAUGACAGUCAGUUUUCGGCUUUCUCUACUGAGGUGCUCAUCCGGUCAAGGCCAGGGCACAAUCGCAGUAGUUCUCCCUUUACUACCCUAGCCGAUAGAGUGGAACGUAGGGUAGCAAGCACAGGAGCCGGGCAACACAACUAUUGACCAAAGAAAUGAUUCGGAGCCAAUGCAUAUAAUGCUAAAUUCGAGGUGCCGAACUUAUGUAUAAAAAGUGUUCGGACUUUGCUGCCGUAUUGUGGGGCGAUAAGUAGCCCCUGGCGAAUAUGAAACGUACAGAAGAGUACCGAUGCAGCAAAUAAGCAGAUCGAAAUAAAACGAAGUAAGAAGUGAAAACCACAGAAACUGGGCCACGAACCAUUUUUAUUAGAACUGGAUGGAUACGUCAAGGCGUAUCUUGUAUAGAUGGUGCGAGGAGUAUCCGGGCUAUUUAACAUGCUGGAAUCAGUAGGGUGCAGCGUGUGGGUCCUGAGAAAUGAGUAUGAAUACCGUCAAGAAGAACGUAUAAAGGUUACCCUACACACCUAUGCUGCUUGCCUCCGUUGUAUGCCAAUCCUUCUAAAGGACUUGCGAUCAGGCCCGCAAAAAAAAGGGAACCUGAAACAAAAAAAGUUAAAGUAUGUAUAUCCGGGAUCGUUCUAGCCGAACUGUAGCCCCCGGGUUAUUUUGUGCCUCCAUCGAUGUCCAUGGAAUUUUGAGUGCGUAAUUGUGUACGUGUGGUGCGAAUGCCACUACCUCAUUGGGACUGGGACGGAGGCCGAAUUGCUAGUCGAGCUCUUGAUGAGCCGCGGCGUUCUAUUGCGGUGUAGUCCGGAACCUCUUAAUGAUGUCCGAGGGCUCAACAGCCGUACUAUGGUGCUGCUUGAGAAGGCCGCUAUGUACUUCCGCUGCUAGGGCGGCGGUGUGCUCCUCUGUUUGGAGGGAGCGUUCCGUAUUGCCAUUGACUGUUAUGACGUCGCGUGGACCGGGCAUCUUGAGCUUGAGAUAAGCGUUGUGUGGCACUGCGUUGAAUCUAGCAAACGCGGUUCAUCCGAGCAGUGCGUGAUAGCCGCUGCAGAAGGGGACGAUAUCGAAUAUUAGCUCUUCGCUUCGGAAGUUGUCCGGAGAACCGAAGACCACCUCCAGGGUGAUUGAGCCCGUACAGCGGGCCUCUACGCCUGCAAUGACUCCUUUAAAGGUAGUCUUUGUUGGUUUGAUUCGUGAGGGGUUAAUGCCCAUCUUCCGCACUGUGUCCUGAUAAAGCAGGUUGAGGCUGCUACCACCGUCCAUCAGGACUCAUGUUAGGUGAAACCCAUCAAUAAUUGGGUCGAGGACUAGUGCGGCUGAACCGCCAUGGCGGAUACUGGUUGGGUGAUCUCGACGAUCGAAGGUGAUCGGGAUUGAUGACCAUGGAUUGAAUUUUGGGGCGACUGGCUCUACCGCGUUGACGUCCCUAAGUGCUCGCUUACGCUCCCUUUUGGGGCGUAGCGUAUAUCAUGUUCACCGUUUUGACUUGAGGGGGGAAUUUCUUCUGCCCUCCGGUGUUCGGCUGCCGGGGCUCUUCGUCCUCGUCCUCACUUUGUGAUCCCUUUUCUUUGUUUUCGGCAUUUAACUUGCCAGCCUGCUUGAAGACCCAACAGUCCCUGUUGGUAUGAUUGGCUUGCUUAUCCGGGGUGCCAUGAAUUAGGCACGGACGGACGGGUAUGCGGUCCAGGCUGGAAGGUCCUUCGUUGUUUCUUUUGUAGGGCUUCUUCCGUUGGCCGGACUUGGAGCCACUGAAUCCGGCGUUAACUGUGGUGUCAUCGGUGUUGUCGCCAUUGCUUCGGCGUUUGUGUCUAUUGCACCGGAGCUUGCCGGUGCUGUUUUUGGCCUCAGUGGGGCCUGCCUCGUUGGCUAUGUUUUUACUACGAGCCAGCCAGCUGUCCUCACCUGCGCAAAAGCAGGUCAUGAGUGCCGUGAGGGCUGCCAUAGACUUCGGCUUUUCUUGGCCGAGGUGGCAUGCUAGCCAUUCGUCACAGAUGCUGUGUUUGAAGGCUGCUAGGGCCUCGGCAUCCGGACAGUCAAUGAUCUGGUUCUUUUUGGUUAGGAACCUAGUCCAGAAUUUUCUGGCUGAUUCACCAGGUUGUUGAACUAUGUGGCUUAAGUCAUCGGCGUCCGGUGGCCGGACAUAAGUUCCUUGGAAGUUAUCAAGGAAAGCCUCUUCCAAGUCUUCCAGCUGUCGAUGGAAUUCUCGGGCGGGCUAUUUAACCAAUGCCGAGCUGGCCCUUAGCUUUAAUGGGAUGUAUUUGAUGGCGUGGAGGUCAUCUCCUCGAGCCAUAUGGAUAUGGAGAAUGAAAUCCUCGAUCCAUACUCCGGGAUCGGUUUUGCUGUCGUAUGAUUCGAUGUUGACAGGCUUGAACCCCUCGGGGAAUUCGUGAUCCAGUACUUCAUCUGUGAAGCAGAGAGGGUGUGCGGCCCCUCUAUAUCGGGCCGUGUCGUGGCGUAGCUCUGAUGGAGUCCGUCUGCGGUAUUCGGCCCGGGCAUGGUUAGGUUUAUCACGUCCGAAUAUGUAGCUGUCGUCGUGCCUCGAGGCACGCCCUCGCGAUUCGUAGAUCGAUCUUGUAUGUCCUGCUCUAUCAUCUAGGAUCUGCCGGAGGUUGUACGUGUGACCCCGAACUCUUCCGUCUCUAUUUUUACGAGGCGGUGGGGCAGGCUGCUGUUCGGCCUGAGUUGCCGCUUUAUCCCGGCCGCGGGGUGGCCGGUCGGCCGCCCUGUCCCGACCACGUGGUGGUCGUUCCGCAUUAUGCGAGGGAGAUGUGUGCUCUGGUGCUUCCUCAUUGAAUUGAGGUAGCAGUCUGCGUUUCGGGUAGCUCUUGGCUCCGCGCCUGAGGCUGUAUUCUUCGGCUGUCAGGACAUCAGUCCAUCUGUCGACGAGCAGGUCUUGUUCAGCUUGAAGCUGCUGCUGUUUCUUUUUCAGGCUCCUUGUAGUGGCUAUGAGCUGAAGCUUAAAGCGCUCCUGCUCCAGAGGAUCCUCAGGCACGAUGAAGUCUUUGUUGCCGAGGCUUGUCUCCUCUUCGGAGGGUGGACGGUAACUGUCGUCCUCUGAGUCAUCUUCUAUGACCUGUUCAUCAGGGUUGUCUUGCCUGUUGUCAUGUUCCUCCUGUUCGGAUGUAGCUCUGACAGGAUCUUCAUUUUUUUGGUAUCGCCUGGAGUACUAUUCUCUCCAGUGCCGGUGUUGCCGUCCUUUGAGCGACGAGGCUUAGAACGGCGCUUGGAGCGUCGGCGUUUGGACUACGUCUCAGAGGUUUUGUUCCCAUCUGGCUCUUCUUUGUCGUCGCUAGAUCCUUUGGGUGUGUCAACCAUGUACAUGUCGUACGAAGAGGUAGCCGUCCAACGUCCAGUGAAUGGCGGGUCUUGGCCUUGCUCCUGAUCGGCAUCGUCGUCCAUACCGUCCAUGUCUUUGGAGCCAUAGUCAAGCACGACGGUUAAGUCAUCGACAGUGGCUAUGAAGUGGGUGGCGGGUGGGAAGCAAAAUUCCUCGUCAUCCAUCUCUAGCUCGAACCGGACGUAGUUCGGCUGUGAGUCCUUCUCCAAGGACAAAUUCUUUAAAGAUUUUAGCACGUCACCCAAAGGGGAGUGCUAGAAAACGUCAGCGGCGCUGAACUCGAAGAUCAAUAACCGAUCUAGCUCGGUGUCCGCGGGCGUACACAGUCCGGAACGUGUAGCCGGAAACGAGUCCGGAGUUCCACUGACGCAAGUAUUGCAGGAUGUCGAGUUCGUGUGCGGCUCCAACGCCGUGGACUUUGUGGCCUCGGAGGGCACGAUCUGCUUCGGUUCUGAGGCCGUUGUAGCAACAGGAUCCAUCUCCUGGGUGUGAUCCGAUGACAAAUUUAAGUCAUGUUCAUCGGAGAGAGGGGGAGCGACUGCCGCCGUCUCGAACCCAUCGAAGAUCAAGUCUCCACGGGUAUCCGCGAUGCAGUUCAAGCUUCCAAAUCUGGCCUGAUGGCCAGGGCGUGGCUAUCGACCAGCUCCAGAUGGCCAAGCAAGUUGGCCCGCGGUACAAAAUCGCCGAACACAAAGGUUUGUCCGGGGAGGAAGGUUUCUCCCUGAAUGGCGCCGUUACUGACGAUCGAAGGGGCCAUCAAGUCCUUUGCCGACGGCACAGUGGAACUCUCAAUGAAAGCACCAAUGUCGGUGUCAAAACCGGCGGAUCUCGGGUAGGGGGUCCCGAACUGUGCGUCUAGGAUCGAUGGUAACAGGAGACGGGGGACACGAUGUUUACCCAGGUUCGGGCCCUCUCUAUGGAGGUAAUACCCUACUUCCUGCUUGAUUGAUCUUGAUGAAUAUGAGUGUUACAAGAGUUGAUCUACCACGAGAUCGUAAUGGCUAAACCCUAAAAGCCUAGCCUAUGAAUAUGGUAAUGAAUGUCCCCUAUUCGAACUAUGCUCUCCGGUUUAUAUAGACACCGGAGAGAUCUAGGGUUACAUGGAGUCGGUUACAUAAGAAGGAAUCUUCACAGCUGGUCACCUAGCUUUCCUUCCACGCCAAGGAGAAUCCAAUCCGGACACGAGUAUGGUCUUCGGUCUUCAUGUCUUCACAACCCAUCAGUCCGGCCCAUGCAUAAUAGGCCGGACGCCAGAGGACCCCUUAGUCCAGGACUCCCUCACACGUCGACAAACCUGAGCGGUCGAGCUCUGGCUCGCGGCACGCUCUACGCACGUCACCUCAUCAGGCCCUCGGUGCCUUCAUUUCCUCGCGGAGCAACCAGUGGCAGGCUGGCAGCCGUAACGGCAAACCGUGUUUCUCGUUAUGAUGGUUUGUAGGGAUCUCAUGAGGAGAAUAGCAGGCGGCACCGCGAGCAUCCUUCCCUCUCGUGCAAUCCGCUUGCGCGUUAAAAUGGGGGCUCUUGAGCAUCGCGACUCAGGAGCUCUUACUGGCUCUCCAGCCCUCACCCCUGGCCUUGACCACGGCAUCGCGACCUGGCAUACCAGCGGCGGCUGAGCUCGCUCGAGGGCCGGGACCUGAGGACGUAGAGCACUAAGGAGAACAUGGGAGGAGGGAGACUCGUAUGGGCCCGGCCUAGCUACGCUGCGGAAUCUUGCACACCAGCCUGGCGCAUCACAAGGAAUCGACCCCAAACCACCAAGAUAAGUCUCGCGCUCAGAUUUACUAAUCCUUGGAGCCUAGGUGCUACGCUCGCCGCAAACCUGUUGCGGCCACGUCACCCCCUUUCUUGCCUUACCAUGGCCGCUUGAGUGCUAAAGGGGACCUCCUGAGCAUCGCGCCUCAGGGGCUCUUACUGGACCUCGGGCCGCUCACCUCCUGGCCUUGACCAGGGCACACGACCUAGCAUACCAGCGACAGCUGCAGCCCGCCUGGGGAAUGGGACCUGUCAGCGAAGAGCAACAAGCUAUUGCAGGGUUGGAAAGGGGAGACCGAGCCUUAACAGGACAUGCGUUCACAAUUUUUCAUAGCAAGGAAUAUAUACACAGAAGACAUUACAGACUCCUUUACACACCCCCACGGGGUACUCGAUGAUCCUUCGCAGAGAACAAAAGACGAAAACCUAGAGGAAUCCUAUCUACAUCCUCCCGUGGCGGAUGCCAUCAUUAACAGUGGGCCGCGGGAGGCUGGCGCCAACCCCAUCCAGAUCAGCGACGGCGGUGGCUGGACGCCGCAGCUCGGCUCCGGGCGCGACGAGAGCUCGGGGGGACGUAGCUGUCGUCGCUCGUCUCCGGAGUAUCGUAGAGCUCAGGAGAGCCACUGGACUCCUAGGGGCCGCUGCUGCUGGAGUAGCCACGAGCAGAGCGCGCGUCGUCCUGGCACUCCCCUCCAGGGCAACACUCAAGGCGGCGGCCCACCGCGUCGAAGACCUUGAAGAAAAGCAUGGAGGCACCAUCAUACUCGAAGUGGAUCGCGAGGGCGCCCUUCGCACGGCAAACCCGCGCGACCUCGCCCCAGCCGCGGGUCAUGAAGGUCUUGCCGGAGGGGACCGCUUCGACCUCCGCUCCGGUCGCCGGAGCAUCGCAGUCAGCAUGCUGCAGCCAGAGCUCGAGGGGCCCCCUCGGCGGCAUCACGUCAGAGAAGAACCGCGGGAAUGGAUCCAAGAGCUUGGAGGCAUCGGCGCCCAUAGCACAAGCUCACGCGAGGAAUCCGCGGCGUGGAUUCCAGGAGCAACGGCACACGCCGCCAUCACACGACGACCACAGGCGCGGCGCGGGCGGCGCCGCUCAUCGCUCCCUCCUCCUGAGCCCCCGGCUUGGGCGUACAAGGGUAGCGGGUACCCUGGAGGAGGCCGCUCGCACUAAGGCCUCGUCACCACCUGCAUCGCCGCUUCGUCGCGACGAUGAACCAGCCUCUUCUUCGGCGGGAGAGGCCCCGGAUCAUCGCGGGGGGCCUUUCCUUUCUCGCCGGCGGAGAACCUUCGGAUCGGCGCCAUUGCUGUCAGCAAUGGAGUUGAGGAGGAAAGAAGCAAGCAAAGAAGGAAGAAAUGGGCGACGGGGGCUCUGCCCCCUCCCCAUUUAUAGCGGAAGAAGGCCAACCGGUGCCUCCCACGAUCACAGGUAAUGAUGGUUUUCCUUGCAUGUCGCAGGGAUUUGUCAAGUCUAGCAGUUGUCGAUGCAGCGUGGGGAAGCGGAGACACCCACGUCCAAUCAACCGCCAUGCGUCGACCAAGGCCGCAGGCUUUGGGGCCCGCGGCGCUCCGUGCUUGACCUUUGGCUUCGCCUCAAAGCCAAGCCCGAGCGCGCCUUGGGCCCGGGGGCUACUGUCGGCGUUCUGGGAACGGGGGUCCCCAGACUUGCCUGCCUGCGGCCCAUGGCAUGGCUUUGCUAGCAGGCCUUUACGGCCCAUCUUCAUCAGCGAGACGCUCAGGACCCUCGCAAGGGGCCAAGCCUCGCAGGGCGGACGACGCAAGACCUCCUCAGGAGCUGCCUCACCAGGCUGCCUCGUGAGGAGCAGUGAUAUCAAUGCAGGGCAAACCUCACGAGGCUCUCGUGACGUGAGCCAUGACGAUCAGGAUCAGGCGGGCGCCAGCGCGCGCAGCGUGCUUGUUUCCUAUUUGGUGCUAGGGAGGCAAGCGCAGGUGUGGAGUACCGAGGCAUCAUGCAAAGGUUUCCAUAUCGGUGCAACGAGACCAAGACGAGCAGGACGGAGGUCACCAUGGAGCCCAAGGCGGCGUCACCACCAGAGCCUUUUGCAGGCGAAGAUCGCUUUUGUCAGGAUAAGCUGUACUAGCUGUCCUCUUUCAAAUUGGCCGUUGUUGGCUCCCUUCCCGCUCCAUAUUUGGGAAGAGGACCAGGGCCUAUAUAAGUAGAACUAGCCACCGCUGUAGGGGCAACUCAUCUUGGAUUGGAUCCACUCCAUCCUCACACCCACAAGUUCAUAGAGCACAAGAACACCUCAACCUCGGGAGGCUGUUCUCCCCCUUGUACUCUUCAUCAUCAGCCCAAGAGGCAAUCCAUCCACCACCACACUGGAGUAGGGUAUUACACCACAACGGUGGCCCGAACCAGUAUAAACCUUGUGUUCUUUGUGCCGUGAGUUCGUCGAGUUCGUCCGCGAGAUCUUAGCGAGCUAGGGCGUAGAUUGGUAGGGAGGAAAUCUCCGCGCACACCCCAGUGUUCGAACCUUGAGGGUUUUGCCGGAACCCGUGAUCCGACAAAUACCCUACUCCAGUGUGGUGGUGGUGGAUUGCCUCUUGGGUUGUGGAUGAACAGUACAAGGGGAAGAACAGCCUCCCGAGGCAAGGUGUUCUUGUGCUUGGUGAACUUGUGUGGUUGAGGAUUACUCAAGAUGAGAUGCCUCCGAAUGAGUUAUCUCCUACAGUGGUGGCUAGUCCUAUUUAUAUAGGCCCUGGUCCUCUCCCCAAAUAUUGAGCGGGAAGGGAGCCAACAACGGCCAAUUCGAAAGGGGACAGCUAGUACAUCUUAUCCUAACAAAAGCAGUCUUCGCCUGCAAAAGGCUCUGGUAGUGACGCCGCCUUGGGCUCCAUGGUGACCUCCAUCUUGCCGUCCUGCUGGUCUUGGUCUCGUUGCACUGAUAUGGAAACCUUUGCAUGACGCCUCAAUACUCCGCGCCUGCGCUUGCCUUCUUAGCACCAAAGAGGAAACAAGGACACUGUGUGCGCUGGUGCCCGCCUGGCGCCCGCUUGGUCUCGAUCGUCAUGGCUCACGUCACGAGAACCUCGUGAGGUUUGCCUUGCCUUGAUCUCUCCGCCCCUCGCGAGCCAACCUGGUGAGGCCGCUCCCGAAGGGGUCCUGCGUCGUCCGCCUCGCGAGGCUUGGCCCCUCGCGAGGGUCUUGAGUGCUUGUUAGUGAAGAUGGGCCGUACGGGCCCGCUCGCAGAGCCAUGCCAUGGGCCGCAGGCAGGCAAGUCUGGGGAACUCUCGUUCCCAGAACGCCGACAGUAGCCCCCGGGCCCAAGGCGCGCUCGGGCUUGGUUUCGAGGCGAAGCCAAAGGUCAAGUGCGGAGCGCCGUGGGCCCCAAUAGUCUGCGGCCUUGGUCGACAUGUGGCGGUUGAUUGGACGUGGGCGUCUUCGCUUCCCCACGCUGCCUCGGCAACUGCCCGACUUGACAAGUCCCUGCGACAUGCAAGGAUAAACCAUCAUUACCUGUGAUCGUGGGGGGCGCUGGUUGCGCUUCUCCUGCUAUAAAUGGGGAGGGGGAGCGGAGCCCCCAUCACCCAUCUCUUCCCAUUCCGCUUGCUUCUCCUCCUCUGCUCCAUCGCCGACACCAAUGGCGCCCAUCCGAAGGUUUUUUGCUGCGGAGAAAGGAAAGACUCCCCUCGACGGGCCGGUGCCGCUCCCGCCGAAGAAGAGGCCGGUCCACGAUGCAGGUGGUGACGAGGCCUUGGUGCGAGGGGCCUCCCCCUGGGUAUCCGUUACCCCUGUACGCCCAAGCCGUGGGCUCAGGAGGGAGAGGCGACGAGCGUCGGCGCGUGCGGCGUGGCCAUGGUCGUCGUGCCGCGGUGGCGCGCGUCGCCGCCCCUGGAGUCCAUGCCACGGACUCCUCCCGCGAGCUCGUGCUGUGGGCGGCGAUGCCCCCAAGCACUUGGAUCCGCUUCCCUUCCUUCUUCUCGGCUGAGAUGCCGCCGAGGGGGCCCCUUGAGCUUUGGCUGUAGCACGCCGACUGCGACACGCUGGCGACUGGAGCGGAGGUGGAGGUCGUCUCCUCGGGGAAGAUCUUCAUGACCCGAGACUAGGGUGAGGUCGCCCGAGUGUGUCACGCGGAGGGCGCCCUCGCGAUCUAUUUCGUGUACGACGGCGCCUCCAUGCUGUUCUUCAAGGUCUUCGACACAGAAGGCCGCUGUUUGGAGUGUUGCCCCAGGUGGGGUCAUUAGGCUGGUGCCGCAUCUCGGGCAGGGUCUGCUGCCCGCGUCGCCAGCGGCUCCUCUGGAAGCCGCAGCGACACUUGGGAGUCCAGCGAUUCUCUCGAGCUCUACGAGACCCCGGAGACGAGCGACGACAGCUACGUGCCCCAAGCUCUCGCCGAGCCCAGAGCAGGGCUGCAGCGUCUGGCCGCCGCCGCCGAUCUGGAUGAGGUGGGCGCCAGCCUCUGGUGGCCCACUGUUGAUGAUGGCGUCGUCCACAGGGGCGCGUGUAGAUACGAUUCCCUAAGUUCUUGCCUUUUGUUCCCUGCGAGGAAUCAAGAAGUGCCCCGUGGGGGUGUGUCAAGGUUUUGUAAUGUCUAUUGCCAAUAUUGUCCUUAUUAUGAACUUGCGCGAGCGCGAGUCCUGCUCCAGCUCGGUCUCCCUUUCCGGCCUCGCGACGACUUGGUGCUCUACACUGACAGGUCCCGGUCCCCAGGCAGGCUGCAGCCGUCGCUAGUAUGCCAAGUCGUGUGCCGUGGUCAAAGGCCAGGAGGUGAGCGGCCCGAGGUCCAGUAAGAGUUCCUGAGGCUUGAUGCUCAGGAUGUCCCUUUUAGCGCUCAAGCAGCCGUCGAGAGGUAAGAAAGGGGGGUGACAUUGCUGCAGCAGGGCUGCGGUUAGUAUGGUUCAUAAUCCUUAGCGGUUUAGCCAACCCGGGCUCGGGACUUAUCUUGACGGUCCGGGGUCGAUUCCUCAUGAUGCACCAGAUUCGUGCAUAGGCGUCCGAAGCACAGCUAAGCCAGGUCCAUGCCAGCCUCCCCCCUUCUCCAUGCUCUCCUUCGUGCUCUACGUCCUCAGGUCCCCGCCCUCGAGCGAGCUCAGCCGCCGCUGGUAUGCCAGGUCGCGUGCCGUGAUCAAGGCCAGGGGGUGAGGGCUGGAGAGCCAGUAGGAGCUCCUAAGUCACAAUGCUCAGGAGCCCCCCUUUAACGCGCAAGCGGAUUGCAUGGGAGAAGAGGGAGCUCGCGGUUCCGCCUACCGGCAUCUUCAGGAGAUUCCUGCGAGCCAGCACAAGGAGAGACAAAGUUUGCCCUUAUGGUUGCCGGUCUGCCGCCGGUUGCUCCGCAAAGAGAUAAAGGCACUGAGGGCCUGGGAAGGUGACGUGCGCGGGGCGUGCCGCGAGUCAGAGCUCGACCACUCAGGUUUGUCGACGUUGCAGGGACGGACCCGAGCACAAGCAUCGUGCCAGCGUGAGUAGCCCCCGUGGCGAGUGAGAAUCGAGCAGGUGAUAGUCAUAGGUAGAUUAAGCAUGGAAAGCAUACUGACUUAAGUAAAUGAUGGGAAGCUACAUGCCACUGGGUCAGGCCGGAGCGGCUUGGGGAUGAUGCAGCCCGAGGGGCGCCCCCAGCAAAGUAAGCUAAAGACAUGAAAAGGGAUACAUGCCACAGGGACGGACCCAUGUGGCCUGGGAAUGAUGCAGCCUGGGGGCGCUCCCAGCUACAUAAACUUGGAAAAUGUCACCUGGUUCUAUUGAUGAAGGGAUGUUGGGGCAGCUGAAGGUAAGCGGCGAAGGGGUCGCUCCUCAUGAGCCACCGGGGCCCUGAGCCUCGGGAGGUGUAACACCCCGGAUGUAACUUUCCAUAUUUGUAACUCCAAUUCUUGCCAUUUUCGGCUAUGUGUUAUGAUAUUCCCUUCAUGGUCGGAUUUUGUCUUUCAUUUUGCAGUUUGUUCAUGUCAUGCAUCUCAUAUCAUGUCAUCAUACGCAUCUCAUUUGCAUACGUGUUCGUCUCAUGCAUCCGAGCAUUUUCCCCGUUGUCCGUUUUGCAAUCCGACACUCCCUCGUGCACCGGCGCACCCCUCUUGUCUCUUUUCGUGAGAGGGUGUUAAACGUUCUCGGAAUGGACCGAGGCUUGCCAAGUGGCCUUGGUAUACCACCAGUAGACCACCUGUCAAGUUUCGUUCCAUUUGGAGGUCGUUUGAUGCUCCAACGGUUAACCGGGUAACCGCAAAGUCCUUUUGUGAGUUGCAGCAAAACCCCCCUCCAAACAGCCCAAUAACCCAUCUAAGUCCCUUCCAUGCUCUCGGUCGUUCGAUCACGAUCGCGUGGGCAAAAACCGCACUCCAUUUGGAGUCUCCUAGCUCCCUCUAGCUAUAAAUAGGUGAUCCCCCCCGAAAUUUUCGCAGAUGAAACCCUAACCCUUCCCCUCUCCGGAGCCGGACGUGUCCGGUCCGGCCGGACGAAAUCGCGCCACCACCCUCGCCCAAUUCGCCGCUGCCACGUGUCCUCCCGUCCGCCUCCGCCGCCGCGGCCCGGGGAGCCCGGAUCGGGCCCUCCCGGCCCAUCUCCUCGCGCCGCCGCCCGAGNNNNNNNNNNNNNNNNNNNNNNNNNNNNNNNNNNNNNNNNNNNNNNNNNNNNNNNNNNNNNNNNNNNNNNNNNNNNNNNNNNNNNNNNNNNNNNNNNNNNNNNNNNNNNNNNNNNNNNNNNNNNNNNNNNNNNNNNNNNNNNNNNNNNNNNNNNNNNNNNNNNNNNNNNNNNNNNNNNNNNNNNNNNNNNNNNNNNNNNNNNNNNNNNNNNNNNNNNNNNNNNNNNNNNNNNNNNNNNNNNNNNNNNNNNNNNNNNNNNNNNNNNNNNNNNNNNNNNNNNNNNNNNNNNNNNNNNNNNNNNNNNNNNNNNNNNNNNNNNNNNNNNNNNNNNNNNNNNNNNNNNNNNNNNNNNNNNNNNNNNNNNNNNNNNNNNNNNNNNNNNNNNNNNNNNNNNNNNNNNNNNNNNNNNNNNNNNNNNNNNNNNNNNNNNNNNNNNNNNNNNNNNNNNNNNNNNCGCCUCGCCGUCUUCGCCGCCUCGUCGACGCUGCAACCUCAAGCCUCGCCGCCGACGCCGACGCCACAAUCCUCGCCGCCGACGCCGACGCCUCAAGCCUCGCCGCCGACUCCGCCGCCGGUUCCGCCCGCGCCCCCGACGCCGAGCUCCGCACCCCUCGUCGCCUCCUCCCUCUCCCCGAGCUCCGGCCGCCGUCGCCCUCUACCCCGGUGAACCUAGACGUCCGUGCCCCAGAUCCGAUCUGGAGAGGUUGACAUCCCCCCCGAAAUCCUCCAAGUCCCGAAGUUUUUGCAUUAUAUUGCUCUGUUCAUCGCAUCAUAUCUCAUUGCAUACUGCUCCGUUUUGCGUGCAUGAUAUAUCGAAAUGUUCGCCUCGAUAUGCUCUUCAUUUUGUUCCAUUGUGCCAUGCUCGUUUGAGUCCAUCUUGAUGCCCAAAUCUCUGGUGCAAGAGUGCUAUAUGAUGUUUACUGCUAUUACUUAUCAGAAAUUGAGGUUUUGUUAUUUUUGUUGCAUUUGAUGUGUGCAUCUUAUGGGCAUGAGAUCUACAGGUGUUUUGAUCUAUGCCAUGCCAUCUUUACAGAGGUGUAUGCCCUGUAUUUUUGUGAUCUGUGUGGUGACUCGCACAAGCAUGCAAACUAGGCUUCGUGAUGUUUCUGUUUUCAGGGACUUACGAUUUUGCUAAGUCUGUUACUGCUGUUAUUUUAUUGCCACGUAUCCAUGUGUAUACACUGAGAUCCAUGCUUCUUUUGGGUAUGUUCAGUAAGGAUGGUUUGUAGAUAUAGUUGUGCUCUUUCUAUCCAUGCCCCUGUUUGAUUAUGGAGUGCCCUAGCAUCUCUUAAUCUUGCUCUACGUUUGCUAUAAAAUAUUCCUGGCAGAUUGUUAACAUGAUAUUCAAUUUUGCCAAGGUUGUUGUAGUUGAUCCAUACAUGCUAUGAAAUUGCUCUUGCCAUGGAUAGCUUCAUAAACAUGCCACCUUGCUGUAGGUAUGCUUUUUUUGUCAUGCAUUGCUUUGUUAUGAGUGAAUCAAUCUCACCAAGAUGCCCUCAUAAUUUCUGUUAAUGCCAUGCUCUGUUUUCUGCCAAGUCUGAAACCUGUUAACGAAACUUGCUAUGUUUACAUGGGUGCCAUCAUAUCUUCUGUACCUCUUUGGCUCAUGGUCAGUAAGGGACUUUUGUUCUAUGCAUUUAUUAGAUUCAUGCAGUGCCUUUUUUUGCUAUGAUAUUUUCCUGUAGCAUGUGUUUGGCUUGCUCUGAACAUAGAUACCUGAUGCUGUUUCAGCCAUGUUCAGUAUUUUCACCAAGUCUGUGAAACUGAUAUCUUUUGCAUUUUUGCCAUGCUUGUUGGAACCUGUUAUUUUGUGAUCUAGCUGUAGCUCAAUGUUCAUCUUUUGUCAAGCAUCUUCUGUAGAUCACUUCCAUAUGCUUUGUUGCUAUGUUGCGGUGCCUUAGCAUAGUUACUUGAUGUAUUCUAAGUGCUAUCAUGUUGUUAAUCACAGAAUCGUGUCAUUCUUGUUUUGCUUGCCAUUUGCAAACCGUGCAUCCGUUUCCGGUGCUCUUUAUAUCGAUUUCGACCGAAAUCAUCUCAUCUUUCCGGUGUCAUACUUGGUUUGCCAAGUUACUGCCUUGUUCAUCCUUUUUCUUCCGGAGCACGCAUACACAUUGCAUAUCAUGUCUCGCAUAUCAUGCAUGUAGUGCAUCAUGUUGCUUGUGCAUUUCCCGUGAUUGAUUGUUGUUCCAUUGCUUGUAUUCUUGCUGUGGGUAGAGCCGGGAGACGAGUUCGUGAACGAGGAACCUGUUGAGUACGCUUACGAGGAUCAUGCUUUCGACAACUCUGAGAACCUUGCAGGCAAAAUGACCAUACCCUCGAAAUCACUUCUAUCUUUGCUUUGCUAGUUGUUCGUUCUUUUGCUAUGUUGCGCUACCUACCACUUGCUAUAUCAUGCCUCCCAUAUUGCCAUGUCAAGCCUCUAACCACCCUUUCCUGGCAAACCGUUGUUUGGCUAAGUUACCGCUUUUGCUCAGCCCUUCUUAUAGCGUUGAUAGUUGCAGGUGAAGUUGAAAUUGGUUCCAUGUUGGAACAUGGAUAUUUUUGGAAUAUCACAAUAUCUAUUAUUUAAUUAAUGCAUCUAUAUAUUUGGUAAAGGGUGGAAUGCUCGGCCCUAUGCUUGGUGUUUUAUUCCACUCUUGCCGCCCUAGUUUCCGUCAUACCGGGAUUAUGUUCCUUGAGUUUGCGUUCCUUACGCGGUUGGGUGAUUUAUGGGACCCCCUUAAUAGUUCGCCCUGAAUAAAACUCAUCUAGCAAGGCCAACCUUGGUUUUACCUUUUGCCACCUAAGCCUUUUUCCCUUGGGUUUUCGCCAGCCCGAGGGUCAUCUUUAUUUAAACCCCCGGACCAGUGCUCCUUCGAGUGCUGGCCCAAACUGGGCGAUGUCCGGCGCCCCUAGGCAAGCAGGGUCUAUGCCAACCCGACGUCUUGCCCAUCCGGUGUGCCCUGAGAUAUGUCCAGCUCCUAUCAGGAUUUGUCGGCACAUUCGGGUGGCUUUGCUGGUCUUGUUUUACCAUUGUCGAAAUGUCUUGUAAACCGGGAUUCCGAGACUGAUCGGGUCUUCCCGGGAGAAGGUUUAUCCUUCGUUGACCGUGAGAGCUUAUAAUGGGCUAAGUUGGGACACCCCUGCAGGGUAUUAUCUUUCGAAAGUCGUGCCCGCGGUUAUGAGGCAGAUGGGAAUUUGUUAAUGUCCGGUUGUAGAGAACUUGACACUUGACUAAUUAAAAUACAUCAACCGUGUGUGUAGCCCUAAUGGUCUCUUCUUGGCGGAGUCCGGGAAGUGAACACGGCUGGAGUUAUGCAUGAACGUAAGUAGUUUCAGGAUCACUUCUUGAUCAUUUCUAGCUUCGCGACCGUUGCGUUGCUUCUCUUCUCGCUCUCUUUUGCGUAUGUUAGCUACCAUAUAUGCUUAGUGCCUGCUGCAGCUCCACCUCAUUAAACCAUCCUUUCCUAUAAGCUUAAAUAGUCUUGAUCUCGCGGGUGUGAGAUUGCUGAGUCGUCGUGACUCACAGAUUCUACCAAAACAGUUGCAGGUGCCGACGAUACCAGUGCAGCUGACGCAACCGAGCUCAAGUGGGAGUUCGACGAGGAACGUGGUCGUUACUAUGUUUCUUUUCCGGAUGAUCAGUAGUGGAGCCCAGUUGGGACGAUCGGGGAUCUAGCAUUUGGGGUUAUCUUAUUUUCAUUUGGAUUUGACCGUAAUCGGUCUAUGUGUGGAUUUUGGAUGAUGUAUGAAUUAAUUUUAUGUAUUGUGUGAAGUGGCGAUUGUAAGCCAACUCUCGUUAUCCCAUUCUUGUUCAUUACGUGGGAUAGUGUGAAGAUAACCCUUCUUGCGACAGUACCACAAUGCGGUUAUGCCUCUAAGUCGUGCCUCAACACGUGGGAGAUAUAGCCGCAUCGUGGGCGUUACAAGUUGGUAAUCAGAGCCAUCCCCGACUUAGGAGCCCCCUGCUUGAUCGAAUCGCUGGCGUUAUUGAGUUUAGAACAAAAAUGUUUUGGAGUCUUAGGAUUUUAUAUAUCAGAGAGUAGGAUUCUUUUUACUCCUCAGUUCCUUCAUCGCUCUGGUGAGGCCUCCUGACGUAGAAGUUUUGACUCUUCUCUCCUCAAAUUUCACUAAAAAAAAAUUUUAGGAUCACGCGGGUAUCUUGGAAUCGUUCCGAUGGUUUUGUGACGAGAACAUUGUUCUUGGUGCCUCCUGACAUUUAG